UACGACAAUCUUUGUCAUGUACCUAUUAUUCACUAUCACUCCUUGCCUGUGGUUGGCCAAUAAGGCAACUGGGAACCUACAUUCCUUUCCGGUAGGACAGCCAUAAACAAAGCUAAUUGCACAAUGCACAUAAAAAUAAUUAUACUAGUUGAUUACUAUCAAAUGUGAAUGAGUGAUAGAAAAGUUAAGUUUUCUAUUUUUAUAUUAAAAGGUGCCCCUUUUUCAACUUUAUCUAUCUUAAAUUCUGAUUUUUCAACGUCAAUUUGAAAAUCCUGGAGCCACUUUUUUCUGUGCAUGGCACUAUGUGCUUAUUUUAUAAAGCUAGCUAUUGUGUACUUCCAAAUGUUUUAAAAUCUUUUUUUUUGUUAGUGGAAGGAAAUCUAUAGUAAUCAGGUUUUUCUGGAGAGUUUCUUUUUGGUGGAGCUCAUUAAUCGUAAUUUGUUGGUUAAAUGUUUAAAAAUCUUUUAGUAGUGAGUAAUCCUUUGUGAUCGAUGAAAACGAGAUAAUGGCAUUAAUUUUGCAUUCCAACAACGUAUCUUUCAUGGUCAGUUUUGCCAAUAAGAAUGGACAACGAUAUUUAUUCGCCAACCAGAUUACAGUGACACCAGGUUUUGUAUUUUCUAUUGAAAUGGGAUUUGAUUUCUGACAGACAAAAACAAAAUCUCCGUUGUGGUUCCACAUACACAGGGAUAUUGAUGCUGCUUUUUCUAAGGAUUGGAAUUUGGUUCCCUCUUCAAGGGUCCCCUCCCCUCUCCCCCACCUUGCCCAAUCUGCAACUGGUUUAAGUCAUGCGCGACCCAUUAACUGACCUCAUGCAUUAAUUCCCCCAUCAACAUUAAUAGCACAUUGCAUCGCGUAGGAUCGAAACCAUAACCUCCUACAUAAUAUUCCUUUAGUGUCUCGACUUAAACCAAUAAUACUAGUAGCAGGAUCGAAACCUGACGUCCUACAUAAUAGUCCUUCAAUGUCUCGACUCAAACCACUAGGUUACUCUUUCGAGGUGUGUGUAUGUAUUAUCAAAAUAUCAAUAUUUUAGAGAGCCAAUUAAGAUAAUUACAAAGCUUUAUUAAAAAAGACUAAUAUAAAUUGAGUGAUAUAUAGUAUCAAUGAUGAAGCCAGCUCCUUACUGUUUCAUUAUGUUCCUUAAAAUGAUGAAAAGUAUGUGCAGUAUGACUUAUUUUACUCUAGGUGGACCAAGAUCCUGUUUUAUUUUCCCUCUAGAAAUUUGUGAAAUCAAUACUACUAUUCUUGUCAUGAUGUACCAUAAAUUGUGAUUGCAAUUUUAAUUGAUUGAUUAAUAAUUAAGGUUCUUGUUUUUAUGAUUAAUCAGGUGGGAUGAUAGACACUCGGUAGUGGUGCCAGACAGCAACAUUUUCUACAUAAUAGCAUUACUCCGAUUUAUUCCACCACCACCUAAGGGACCACCUACUGAUAAAUUGGUGGCACAAAACAAUGCAAUUAUUCAAUUGUGCUACAACAAGGGAUUUAAUUUCAAGUUAUAUCUUCCUCACUACACGUCUCAGGAGAAUUGGAUGCGACACUUUGGGGAUAGGUGGACUAGAUUUGUCCAGAGAAAACAAAAUUUUGAUCCAAUGGCUAUUCUUGCACCUGGACAAAAAAUAUUUUCAAGAAACCAACUUAAAUAAUAUUAAUUAGAUUAUUAGUUUUAUUAGCUAGAUAGAUUGUUUCUCAAUUAACCUUGUAAUUUUGUUUUGAUAUUUUUUUUUCCUUAUUGAUCUUGUUGUUUCUUUCCCCAACCAAUUACUACAAUGGUUCAUCCAUAUUGUAAAUCAAUAUUUUUGGGGGUAAAUCAAUGUGAAAUCUUAAUCCUUUGCGUAUCCUAUAUAUAAAAUUUCGCAUAUAAGAAAAGAAGUGUUGUAAUUUAUUAUUCAGAAGAAUUUAAGUUCAAAUUAUGAUUUAUUAUAUUUUACUUCAUAAUCGAACUCCAAAUAAUGCGAACCCAUCCUUAAAAAUAUGAGAUUAAAAUAAAAAAAAUCUAAAUCAAACCCACAAGGAGAAAGUGUAUAUAUGAAAACAAUUACUAGUAGAGGUUCCAAGCUCUCUCAUUCGCUUGAAAACAAAAAAAUUGAUCUUGGUGAUGAGAAGAUGUCGAAUCUUUGUUGUUUUGAUCUUCAACAAAUUAUUAUGGAUGAAAUUAAGGGGUCAAGAUUAUGAUGUAUAGAGGUUCGAACUAAUCUUGGUGAUGCAUGACACGUAUAUGGACUAGCUAGUAAUUGGAUAAAGCCAAUUUCAUCCUAUCAAGCAAACUGGCUAGUGCUUGUCAACCAAUCAUUUUCUUUUGGUCUCUUUGGAUUUUAAGUCUUUAUUAGAAUCUAUCUACGUGCCAAUUAGUCAUUUGGACCACGCACUAAAUUUGUAUAUAUGUCUUACAUCUAUUAACAGGCUAUGAUUUCUAUGUUGACUCCAUCGCAAAUAAGAUAAUCGUGCUAAAAAAAAUUUACUGUUGAUAUUUCUUGUUAUGCGGCAAUUAACUACUGGAUGAGGGUAAAAGUGUAAUUUCCCCGUGUUUCAUAACAAAGGCUGAUGUGGGAACAACAAGUUUCCGCAAAUAAUCAUGUUUGAAGUAUUGUUAGACACUACAUAUUGGUAUAUCGUAAUUGUGAGUGUUUUCCGCUCUAUUUUUCUAUUCGAUUAUUGUUGUGAAUUCGGACUCAAAAUCAUACUAAUACAAACUAUGAUGUGUGGAGUAAAGGAAAGUAGUAACCAAUAUCAAAGUGAACACAAGCAACAACAAUAAUAAUAACAACACCUAGAUCUAAUAUAGUAAUCAAAGUGAAAAGCUCAAAACCACAAGCAAAAGAUAAAGAGAGAAGAGAGAAACAAACACACCAAAGAUUGUUGACCAAGUUCGGUCCAACUUGACCUAAUCUGGGGAAGAGAUGGAUCUCUCCAAUCCACUAUCAAUGAGUUCUUACAAAGGGAUACAAAUGGGUUACAAAAAUUUAGCUUAAACAAACUCACAAAGAACAACCCUAAUUUCUACCCAUUUUCCCAAUCUCACAAAUGAACAAGACACUCAAUGAUUUUCACUCACCCAAGGUGUUUACAAUGUUUCCCAACCCAAGAGAACUCUAAUCAAAGACCCUCGACCCUAAAGUUACCUCCUUUGAUUUCCCAAGUUUUCCUCUCUUGAAGUUCUCUCUCCUCCUUCUUCAAAAAUGACAACCUUAUCCACAAAUCGCGCCACGCCCGCACAAAAUCGCGCCAUGAUUUCCUUCAGCAGAAACUAUCCAUUCUGCCAGCAAAAUCGCGCCAUGCCUCUGAAAAUCACGCCACGAUUUUCAGCUUUCACAACAUCACAAUUUGAAGACAAUUUCAACAAUUAUUUCAGACUUUCAUCAUAACAAAUUUCAAAACUCAAAUAAAAGUUAUUGAAUCGUAACAAUUAUCCACAAUCGAGAUUUUCAUGUCGGGUAUAAAAUUUAAACUCAAAUAUGAAUUUAUGACUAAAUUCAAAUAAACUUAAAAGACUUAAUGCAUACAUUUGAUUUGAAUGUAAAAGCCACUAGGGUUUGGAGUUAGGUAUCACGGACUCUUUAUUGCUACUUUUGUACCUUUUUUUUCAUAUAGAAAGAUCAAAUCCACAUCAAUAAAACAAGCUAAAAUCUCAAAGGGAAAGCUAUCACUUUCUCUUUUUUUUCCCUUCCCCCCUUUGAACUGGUUUCCACACAAAUCCUCGGGCUUUGCUAGUUUGACACAAAAAUCAAACAAAAUCUACUUGGCUUCAUGAUUCUCCACUUUCAUAUUGUUUCUUUUGGUAACUUUUGUUUCCUUUCGUCUUGUUCUUUUUCUCACUUCUGUAAUUUACUUUUUACUCAUCGUAUUAAAAGUAGAGAAAAUUAAAGUAGAUAAAGAAUAAUAAUAUUUUGGGGUCCCCUACUUAGCUUUAGAAGGCAAUAAUAAGAUCAUGAUUUCUUGUAAGAAGCACCAACCAAUCACAAAACGUUACGCAAUGAGACUCAUGCAAAAGUAUCAUAUACGUUCAGCAAUGGUAAACGUGUCAUGCACGAACGUGCUUUUUUUACAAUCUGUAUUUUAGGUGUAACAUUGUACGGACGCGUAAGCCAUGCGCGUGUAACUUGUAAGAGUAAUCUUUGUUAUUACAAGGUUUUUGUGUGUCCAAAUCUUAGUUAAAAGUUGCAACUUCUGUUUCUACUUAGGUAGUGUCUGCUCUUUCAAUAUGCUUUGUUUGGUUUAAUGAUUGAAAAACAAAAUGAAAUUUAAGCGAAUCAUUGAAUAGUCAAACACGGUAUGUAUGUAUGUAUGUACACAUUAUUGUGACCUAUUUUAAUAUAUGUUUUUCAUUACAGAUCGAUCAAGAAUUGAACCCUAGACAAACGGCUAAUGACUUUAAUAUAUGGAUUUAUUUUGAAAUCCAAAAUUUUAGUAUUUGCUUAAAAAAAAUCAGAAUUUUUUCCAUAACUUAUUUUGAGGUUUAUUUUUUAUAUGUCAUAUUUUAUUAGUGGUGUGAAAUUAUAUUUGAUGAUUUGACAUUGUUGAUUUGGACUGGAAAUCGGGUUACAUUUGUUGUUUUGUUUAGUUUCAUCGAUCAAAUGUAAACUUAUUUUUGUCAAUGUAAUUUAACAUCAUUAAUGAAUAUGGGACAUCAUAAAAUAAAAAAUAAAAAAAACUUUAAAAUGGGUUGUGCAAAGAUCGUAAAAUUUGGGAAACAGAGGGACUAAAACCCCCAAAUUUAAAAAAUGGAGUACUAAAUUAUUUCAGUUUAUAUUAAAAUAGUGACAAAAAUACAUUAAUUUAAGCCUUAAUAUUAGUAUUAUUUUCCUCACAUUUAAUUUGAGGAAACAACUCCAAAUGACCUCGAAUAGGGUCCUAAGUGAUACAUGCAAUGAUAUACUCAUAAUUUUAUAAGUUUGUUCAACAACCAUAUGAGACAGUUGGGAACAUAGUACACAAACACAUGAUCAUAAAAUAUUGCAUUGAAACGUGUGAGUGUUGCUUUUGUGGUGAAAAUCUUUUACCAAAUAGUUUGUUGACUGUUUUAUUUUAAACUAAAUUAUGGUUCCGUUAAAUAAAACAUAGUUUUGAUGACUUUUAUACGAGUUGAACUUUCAUAUACGUACCCUAUGCAUGCAAUGCAACUUCUUCUCUUAGUAUAUAAGAUUGCUGGAUUGAGUAGUUCUAGGUGAUCUCUUGCAAAAUCAGCCUUCCUUUUUUGAUUUUUUUCUUGUGUCUCCAUGUUGAAGCACGUGAUUAUCUUCUUUUGUUGGAAGAAGAAUAUUAUUAAUAUUUUGUUAAUAAAAAAUAUAUAUAUGAAUUGUUUGAAAAUAUGCUUUUGAGUUAUAAAAUAUACUUCUUUUUCAACCAUGCAUGGAAGACUAUUGGCAAUGGCAUCAAUUCUGAUUUUAUUCAUUUGGUUACAAUCCAUGCAUACUCAAUUUUUGAUAAGAUUGUGUUUGUAUGCCAAAUGAGAUUUAACUUUACGGGACUCUGCUCUAUUCAUGUUCCCCCCAUAAAAGAAUAUUCUACUUUUCAUAACUGAAUAUAAAAAUUACAAAUUAAAGAGCAGGUAUAGUUAAUUUGACUUGAAUAGUAGAUAUUCAUGCUUGUUGAAUGAAAGAAUUGAUUCUUUGGUUUUGUACUAUUGGGAACAUGUGGUUCUUCUGCAAACAACUAUUAAUGGUUAUAGGGAUAGUCCAAACGGUAAAGUAGUUUUUUUGAAACAUGACUUUGGAAAGAAAAUAAUAAUAAUAAUAAAAUAUUUGACUCAACAUUGUCAUAUUUGUGCUUAUUAAGCUGAGUAAGAAUUUUGAAUAGUCCUUUGUUUGUCACAUCGCCUUUUUUGAAACGGAACUUGACAUUGGAGACUAAAAAUAAUGAGAAUAGACUUUUGGAAGUACAAAAUCCAAACAAAAACAUUUAUAGAGAUCAAAAUAAAAUAAAAAACUUUAUAUAAACAUAAACUCAAAUAACUAAAUAAAGUGUUUGAUAUUUGCAGCAAGGGGUGAUAUUGAUGCUUCAAAAAAGAAGGGAUGAUAUUAUUUAAGGAUUAUAAUUAGAAAUAUGGGUUGUGUUAUGAAAUUAAUCAAAAGUGUCACAUCAUAUUAUUAUUGAAUAAUAUAGAAGAAUAUAGUGAAAGGAAUAACGGGAGAAGAAGAGAGUAUAUUGCAUUACUUCAUAAGUGUGUCUUUAUAUUGCAAUAUAGAUUCUAUUUAUAGGACACAAAUAGGUAAAUGAAUAAUCACAUUUCAAUCCACUUACUAGUGGGAGUUACAUGCAUGUGGAAGAUUAAUGGAUGGUCAUCCGCUAAUUUUUAUAUUCAUAACAGAUUGUUUUAAUUUUAUUACCAUUUUUAAGGACUUAUGAUGUGUGUGUAUGAAACAGGUGAAUUUUAUUUAUAAUUAGAAGUAUUAAAAAGUCAUUUUUAUUUAUUAAAUUAUUGAGAGUUAGUUAGAUAUGUUUUUGUUGGUUUUCACAAUUUUUCAAAAAAAAAUUCGGCUUUCGCACCGGUUUCCGACCCAUUAAAGGUGGGCGACUAAUCCGCCUCGUGCGUAGAAGGAGAAUUGAUAAAGGGCAAUAAAGGAAAAUAAUAGGUUGUAAUAAUCAAAAUAUAAAAUUUAUUGGAGAAUUGAUUCUAGAUAACUCAAAAGCUAGAAAUUGUAGCUUCAUUCAUAAUUGCCUUUGGAGAUGAGAAUUGAUUUUGAGAAGCUGAACCAAACAGGUUGAAAUUGCAAGUUUUUACUUUUGAAGCUACAAGAAUUUUUUUUUAGGGUUGUAGAUGCUAAACCAUUUAAAUACAUUUAAAUCUAUUAGAAUAAUUUUGCUACCUAAAAGUAUAUUUAAAUUUGUCCAAUGCAUACCAAUAAAUCUAGUUGUGCCCUUACAUCUGACAAUCACCUUUUCAAUAGUUGUAAGAACAUUUUUUCUUUAACGCUCAUUUUUUAUAACUUUUGUGACAACUUUCUCUCUCAUACUCACAUUAUCUUUUUACUUGAUCUCUCUAUUGUUUUGGUUUUUCUGUCACUACCUCAUUUCCUUUAUAAAAUUUUGGUUGUCAUAAAAGUUGUCACAUAUAUGGAUGUUCAAAUAACAACUCAUUUUUUAUAUAUAACUCAAUUCUAAAAUAUAUGACUCACAUUGAUUUUACAUGAUAAAAGAUAAGUGUUAAAAGUACUAAAAAAAAAAAAAGUGUUCCUAACACUCCCCUCUCACUCUCAUCAAAGCGAAUAUUAUUGAUAAUGAUAUUUUUCACCACAGAUAAGUCUACUUAGGGUUCUUGUGCCAAAAAAAAAAAGUCUGCAUGAUGCUUAAAGCAUACACCGUAGUAAUUUGAGAAUUUUUAAAAAUGUGGGGGUAUACUCAUUAAGUAUGCGUCUACCCUUUAAAAUUCAUAUUUAAGUUACUGUUGAUACAUAACAGAGCCCACUAUAGAGCCCGCUAAUGAUAUUAGAGUGUUUCUUAUAAUUGUUCUUCUGUCGUCUGUUUUUCCUCAUCCCCGUCAAAAUAGCCGAGCGUGAGUUAACUCGCAAGUGUAUUUUCAGUGUGAGUUAACUCAUGUAGGAACUCACGCUGGACAGGAAUGAGCAAAAACAGAUGAGAGAAGAGCAAUUCUCAUGUUUCUUUUCAUAAAUUGUUUAGUAUUUCUUUUAUUAGCCAAUAUCAGAUUCUUGAAACAAAUGAUAUUGGAGUGUUUCUUUUAAUUUUUCUGGUCAACAUGCAGCUUAAUUAUAGUUUGUGUUUCCAGGAAACAAAUGUAAACCAUUUAACGUUCCAUAAGUUUUUCGAGAAUAAUUUUGAAACCGGAAUAUUACUCUCUUUUUCUCUUGGAAAAUUUGAAAAACUAAAAAAAAAAAAAAAAAUGUUAAAAUGAGACAGGGUUUAUAGAUGUUGGCAUAUUUGGAAGUUUUUAAGAAAAAAUGUAGGGGUGAAGAUAUAAAUAUAGAGGUGUGGGAUAGAUUUGUCUGGCUUGCAUUGCAUAUAGCAUGACUACAACCGGAUAUUGGGCUUUGCCCAUAUACAGUAUCGCCAUGCUUCUUUAAAAGUUUACAAUCCACACCCCCUAUUUUAAGUAAAACUCAGCAUUUUGUUUAAACUGCCCGACAAUUUAAAAAACUAUAAAAACCCAGAAGCUUUUUUUAUAUUUCACUUUUUGAAUUUUCAUGAACAUUCUUUUUUAAAUUCUAGUAAAUUUUAUUCAUUAAUACAACAUGUGCGUAUUUUAUUUCUUUCUGAACAUAAAAAGAGAAAAUCAAAGCAAAUAAUUGAUUUCGGUUGAAUCUUUGUGUUCGUCAAGUCAUUGAUAACUCUUCGUCAUGUAUAUGUUUUAAUACCUUUUCAGUCUUUAUUUUUAUGUUACUAUCAUAAGUUUUAGCUAGUUGUAGGCACUAAUUAAAUAGAUUGUUAUUUUUAACCAGACAAUUCUUGUACUUUUAUUUUUGUUCAUUUGUGUAGCUAAGCAGCUUGAUUGUUUAAAGUGGGACACUUCGAUGAAAGUUGCAUGCUCGUUGAUGUGUAAGUUUGUAACCAAUCCGUGGCAAAAACUAAUAUAAAUAUAGGGAACGCUAACAAGUGUCUCCUAGGACCAUUGUAAGAAAUUUAAAAAGAAAAUUUUAUCUUAGGAAUGAUGUAUUCGGUAUAUUGAAAGUUUAAAAGGUAAAUUUAUCUACAUAAAACUUUUUUUUUUUUUUAAGGAAAUCUACAUAAAACUUAUAAAUUACUUCUAUAAUUAUUAACUAGUGCCCUAAGUUAAAAAAGACUUUAAAAAUAUUUCUUUCGUUUUAUAAAAGAUGUCGUCUUUCAUAUAUUUUUUUGUCUUAAAUUAUUACUCCAUUUUUUAAUACAUCUUGCAAUAGCUUGUCGAGAAUAUUUGCUAUUAAAAAAAAAAAAAAAAAAACUUGCUCAUAUCUACCAUAUGUUUUCUCCGCUGUGCUGCUACUCACUUCUACUCACGUGCAUCAUUUGCAACUUCCAAGGUUCGAACAUUGGUGGAUUAACUUGAAGAUUUGGUUCAAGUUUGUUAAAUUGAUUUCCAAAGAAACUAAAAAAUUGUAAAUUAUACAUAAAUGUGCUGUGAAGAAGUUGCAUUUUGAAAAAGUUCAAUAUAAAAAAAGUUGCAUAAUUAAAUUAAAGAAUAUUAACAUUGGUUAUAACAUGUUCAAUAUAUUUGUGAGUAAGACGCAAUUGAUCGUUAUAAGAAUAAAAUCACAAUGACUGAGUUUGAACAUCGAAUCUUCAACUUCUCCACACUUAUAUGAAUCUAUCUAACAACUAAACUUGACAAAAAAAAAACACAUUCAUAUUGUUUGUGGUAUAAGCUUUGUUUUGGAAAAUAAGUGUUGAUCGACCUAACCAUAGUUUUUUUUUUCUCUUAUUUUAUAAACAUGAAAUUAUGGUUUGAAGAUUUCACCGGUGACGGAUGCACCUGUAUGGAAAUUGGGGUAGCUACCCCCGCACCUUAUUUCUUAUCUUUGGUAAUGAUUAAAUAUUUUACUACUAUUCUACUAAAUAUCAUGUGUUGUCUCCCCAAAAAUAUUAAAUAAUUUUAUAUGUAAAUAAUUAAAAGCAAAAUUAUAUGAAAGAUGAAAUGUUAAUCAUUGUUUAAUCACAUAAAUAGAGAGAUCCUUUUUAUAGUAUGAAAAAUAAAAACUAUACAACAAUUAUAAAAUAUAAAGGCACAUAAAUUUUUUUUUCCUUCGGAAAGAUACAUAAAUGUUGAAGCUUCUUUAAUUUCACGUAUAAUGAUAUAGUUGUAAUCUCCAAUUUUUCAACAAUAAUUUUUUUUAAGAAGCCAAAAUAAAUUUAGAUUAAGCACCGAGAGUAAUUCAUCUCGCACAAGGUGUGCAGAGAGAGUCACUCCUCACAAAAUACAAGAUCAGGUAUCUGUUACUACACAAAACAUAAUGAAAAAAAGACAAGAAGACUACUCCCUAACACCCAUACAAAUUAAAGGGUGUCGCCACCAGUCAUUAUAACUGAAAGCUGAAGUGAGCUUAUUCGCCCUUAACCAAGAAAAAGAUACAAACUUUACUUCGUCUAAUAAUUGAACCAAGUCUAGUGCUUUGUUUUUUAAAAUCCUAUUGUUUCUUUCCUUCCAAACUGUUCAAACGCAAGCAUGCCAGAUCACUCUGAAGAAAGAAUGCUUAAAUUGUGGUAACCCCCCAUGUGACCAAACUGAAUAAGAUGCUCACGAACAGAGUCAGGAGAAAUGAAUUCUAAACAACAACUAUAUGAAGCUUGUACUUUUAUAAAUUUCAUAGUUGAUAUCCUAGCAUAACAUUUAUUCCAAAUUACAAUAUGGAUAUACUGUACAUCAAUAUGAAAGUCAACAUCAUUGUAACUCAUUUACAAUGUUUCUUUCAUCUGUGUUCAGGAAACAAUCCAUAGUCAUUUAAGACAUCCAAGAUAUUCUUGAAGGUAUUCUAGUGUCGAACACUAUAAUCAAUUUUGGUACAUAUUGAAAAUAAUUUUCUAACCAUGUCUUACAUGUGUAGAUAAAUUAUUUUGGUGACUAGUAUGUCAUCCACAUACUCCACCAAACUAAUUUCAAUGCUCCCACUAAUCUCCUUAUGUGCACAAGAUUUCUUUAUUAAUAAAAGUUUUCAUAAAACUUCAUUUAAUAAAAUAAAAAAAUUCAACUUCGAGAAGUUUUCUCUAAUUCGUAAAUGAAUUUAUAAUACAUCUUCCUUUCUAGUAUCCUUUGGAUUAACGAAAUCUUACAUAUAUCAAAUACAUAUAUAAGGUUAUUCCAAUUAAGGAAUACAACCUCGUUAUCCAUCUUCUAGAACAUGUAUUAUACAACAAUGGGAAUUGGGAUCGUUAGAUUUAAGCAUUACGAUGAUGGAAUGGUUUCGUCAUGAUAUGCAUCAUGAAUUGCAUGAAACCUUCUACAAUCAAUCACAUCUUAAAGGUACCAUCCAUGUCAGUUUUCUAUAAGAAAGCUCACAUUCAUCUUAUGAGUCAUACUCAUUUGGAUGAUAUAACCAAUAUCCAUAUAUGGUUUGUGUACAUGGAUUCUUUAUAAGAUCCCAUGGCAUCUAGCCGCUUCUAAAAAAUCAGGCCAUUUGCGACCUUCUAGUAAGUCAGGUGCUCAUCUUCCAUGAGCAUCAUAUCACCUUGUUGAGUCAUGACAAAAUCAUAUUUCUCAUCCUAGUGUUAUGACAUAUCAGACUCAUCUAGAUCAUGUGCUACUCGAACUACCGAUUUACCAACAAUCCUUUGUUGAAUCAGUUCAUGUUCCAUUCUUAGAGAAACAUGUAAUUACCCUUUCGCCCUCAUGACUAUAUUGAACACAAGGCAUAGACCGUGUCAUCCUUGUCUAGUUCAAUAUUGGGCUCGUAGACAUUUCUCCUGUUAUGUUGGAGGGGAAAAUUUCAUCUAGGUCACUCAUGUCCCUCAGCAUGAUUCAUGGAGUACCGGUCAACCAACUUUAUAGUCAUCCUGUUACGGACAACGCUUGAAUGGUGACAAAGCGCUCAACUCCAACAUCUAGGGUACAUAGUGGUUUCGGGUCGAAUGGUGGAAUACACCACUAUCACUGUGAGAAUAUCUUAUGACACUUUUCAUAACCUUUACUAUGUAGUAUUCUCAUUGCGGGUCAAUCCAAUAUAAAUAUUACUCCUAAUAUUUAUACCUAUGUGAAGACUUUAUAACUCUUUAUCCAUGAUUUGUGAGAUGUGAUCAUCAGUCUACCCACGUAAUAGUCUCCAUGCUUUAAUAAUAUCCCACUUCACAAUAAAGUUUGACUACAAAUAUUUUAAGAAUAAUGUCCUUAUGUUUAAUGGGGUCUCACAAUUAAGUUAUACUUAAUGUUCCAUUAAACGGGCUAACUAUUCUAGGGACUUUGUUAUUUUGAAACAAAACAAAAUAAACAAAGAAAUGCCUUGUUAUUAUAUAUUCACAAUAUAUAUAUUUAUAUCAAUAUCAUGAUACAAAGUCAAACCCAAUCAAGAUGGAUUGGCUAUUAGGGCCUACUCCAACAACAUCAUCCUCCACCACACCGAACUAUUCCCCCUUUCUUCAACCGCCCUCCCACCUCCCCGUACCUAGCCUUUAAGACUCGAUACCAUAACCCCUCCUUAUCCACUAACAUACGCCAACACCACUUGUCAUGGUAAGGAAGAAGGGGAAACAAGCACACUUGGAGAGAGCAGUACAAUGGAUAGUUGUAUGUUGCGUUCGGGAAGGAUGAAUCGCUCCCGAAUAGGAAUUUAUUGAUUCUCUUCCAAUUGGAUGGACCGUAGGUGCGAUGAUUUACUUUACGAGCGAGGUCUCUGGUUCAAGUCCAGGAUGGCCCAGCUGUGCCAAGGAAAAGAAUAAAAGACUGAUUUGACUCCAUCAUGCGUGCUCCAACUUGACUCGGGGGGAUAUAACUUAGUUGGUAGAGCUCCGCUCUUGCAAUUGGGUCGUUGCGAUUACAGGUUGGAUGUCUAACUGUCCAGGUGGUAAUGAUAGUAUCUUGUACCUGAACCGGUGGCUCACUUUUUUUAAGUAAUGGAAAAGAGGACCGAAACAUGCCACCGAAAGACUCUACUAAGACAAAGAUGGCUAUUUUAUGACUUAUGCAUUGUUAUAUUUUUCAACAAAUAUUUGUGAUAUCUAAUCUUGCUCCCCCCACGAGUAAAAAUUUAUGGAUCCAUCACAGGUCAAUUCACAGUGUAAAAAUCCAGGAACAUUAUUAUGCUCAUCACAUGUCAUCUUUAGAGCAUUUUCAAUAAUGCGACAUUUACUUAACAAAGACCUAUUAAAUAUCAUAUUAGAGGAAGAAAAAAAUGAGUACUUAAUUACUGACAACUAUAUAAGAAUUCUUUUAAUCUUCGACAAUUACAUGUCCCACGAUUAAAAAGUGGAAAGGAGAUAGAUCAAAAUUGGUCUCAAUAUUUCAGAUUCGUGUGAUUCUUACUCUUUUCGAUUUAUUUUCUAAAUGCAAAUUUUAAAUUACAUAUUAAUAAAUCUAUUUAAGAAGUCUUUUUAAUUUUCUAUCAUUCAAGUCAUUGAAACUUUAUUAAAUAUUUUUAUUAAAAAGUUAUAAAUAAAUAUACGAGACUUAUUUAAAAACUCAUUUUAGUUUUACAUUGUGAAUAACUUGGGCAUAAUGCACAAGAGUCUCCCCUCUCAUCGUACAUGGCAAUUAAUUCCACACACACAAUUAAAUUUUAUAAAGAAAAUUCAAUGUCUUUGUAUAGUGGGGAUUUAAGUGGGACAUGAUGUUGGAUGUUUGUACUCAAAUUUAUUUCUCAGUCCAACACAAAGUAAGCACACGUGGGAAAGAGAAAUGCAAGUUGUAGAAGUUGUUGCCACCACUUUAACUUAGCAAAAUCUAAUGUCACAGUACUGUCACUUGUGUUCGCCUGUGAAUGAAAGAAGGAAACACACAUAAUCUAAGUGCCAUACUAGUACGAGUAAAAAUCUUAUGAUGAUGACUUCUUCUAAGUAAUUGAUUAUAUAAAAAUGAGAGGAGUUAUAUUCACACUUUCUUUUUAACACAUAUUCCAAUCAUUUAUUUGAUGGAAUUCAAAUGAAACUCAUACUUUGCAAAUAUAUCUUACAUAAAAUGGUGAAGUAUUAUUGUCUACACCUAAUAAAAAAGUGAAUAUUAAAGAGAAUAUAUAAAAAAAAAGGUUAAUUAAGUUUUUGGUCCUUAUAAAUAUCUGCAGUUUUGUUUUUAGUCCAUAUAAAAAUAAAUCACACUUUUUAGUUUCUACAAAAAAUUUUGCUAGUGCUUUUAGUCCCUAUAAAAUUUUCUUUCAACAUUUUUAGUCCCUAUCAAAAAUUUGCAUCAACAUUUUUGGUCCUUAAAAUGCUUGAGGAAAAUGUCACAAGAACUAAAAAGUUUGAUUUUAUUUUGUAGGGAUUAAAAACAAAACUAUGAAUAUUUAUAGAGAUUAAACAAUUGAUUAUAUAAAAUUGAGAAGAGUUAUGUUCACACUUUCUUUUUAAUACAUUUUCUAACACUCGUUUAUUCAUUUGAUGAAAUUCAAAUGAAUCUCAUAUAAAAUGAUGAGAUUUAUACCAAAUAAAAAAUAUUAAUGUUAAAUAAAAUAUUAAAAAAAUAGUAUUUCUAACAUUUCUCUAGAAAUUUGCCAAAAAAAAUUGUCUAUGAUAAACAUGAUUGUACAAACCGUCCAAUACUCUUGAUAUUAAUCUUUCAAAAUUUAACCUAGAAAACUAAAAUCUAUAAUUUAUCAAAACAACAUAAAUUACAAAAUUGUAAGUGAUUAUUUAAAAAGUAAUAAAUUUUGAUUGAGUGAAAAAGAAAAAUAUUGUAAAUUAAACGGUUUAUAUAACAUUUAAGGUGCUGAAAAAAUGUUACCCCAAAGUUUUUCCCUAUAUACAUGCGCGUGUAGGUAUUUAAAAUAAAAAAAUUGAUCGAAUAAAAAAUAGCAAAAUUGUAAAUUAACUUGAGCUGAAUUGUCAAAAUUAAAUAUAACAAUGAAACAAAAAAAAAACUACCAAUAAACUAAACAAUAGACUCAAAUGGUUAAUGAGCUCGACAAAAAACGUUUUGUUUAGAAGAACUGAGUUUAACUUAUAGGUGAAACAAUUCUUAGUUAGACUUUAUUUACCUCCUGACCGAAUUUCAAAUUAUCAAGCUAUCUUUCCCAAAGAACCGAGAGUUAACCAAAAAAAAAAAAAAAAAAACUACCAAUACAUGGUAUCUUUUAUAUAUAGGUAUAGAUCAAAUAUUAAUAUUGGGGAUAGGUAACUCACUUGAUGAGUUAAGAGAAUAAAGGAGUUAAUGAGUUAAAAGUUUAGGAUUUAAAUAAAUACUAUGAGUUUGAUUUUUCAAAUAAAUCAUCUAAUACAGAACGAAGGGAGUAUGAUUUUUGCCUCAUAAAAUAGGUAUGUUUAUAUCCUAGAACCUCGGACAAUUCAUUAAAUUCGAGUUAUAAGCAAAUAACUUAGAAAUUCUAAGAGUUUGUAACAAUUAUUUUUUACUGCCGAGAGCGCACGGUCGUGCUUGCCUUCAAAAAUGUUGAAAUUCUGCAAACUGGGAAGGGCCCACAACCGUGCUAGAUAGUCGCACGGACCGUGCUCAACUUUUGACAAUUUUGUCUGAUUUUUCUUCAAACAAAGCGCACGGUCAAUUACCCUUUUCGAGAUUUGAAAAUUCUUCAUUAUCUUCAUUAUUUUUAUUCUGAAAAUGAAAACUAAUGAUUUGUAGUAAAUUAGCUCUAAAGUAAGACCAGAGUUCCAUAAAUAUUAUUGAAUUCAAAUGCUAAAAACACCAUAAACUAUAACUUACCAUGACGAUUUAUUCAAGAUGCUGAAAAAAAAAAUCAGGGUUUUGUGGGUUGGGUUUGAUUUAAUUUUGCUUUUUGUGUGUGUGUUGGUGUUGUUGUUUCUAUUGUUUUUUUUUUUUCUUCUGAGGGGUUUGAGUUUAUAUCUGUUUUAAUAUCAAAGAAGAAGAAAAUUAAGAAUUAGGGUGGGCGUGGUGGAUCUUAAAAGAUGAAGAUUAUGUUGAUAGAUUCAUGAUUUUUAACUUUGAAACGUUUAAUAAGCAUGGGUCGCGUGUCCAAGUUCUAAACUCCCAGUUUUUUCAUUUUUUUUCUUCCGUUUGUAUUGAAUAUCUUGGAUUAAAAAUCGAAAUAUAUGGAUAAUGGAACUUGAAUCACACACAUUAAGCUCAAAAUACAUGCUGUAAACCAACUGAUCAAAUAAACAAUCUUUCCAAUUUUCAUAAUUAGGAUGUUAAUAAUAUAGAAAGCUUAAUCUACUAGAUGACCUACUUUUUAUGUGUUAUUGAUAUUAUUUAUAUUUAUAAUUUAAAUAAACGACGACUCUUAUCAAUAUUUUGUAUUUUUUUAAUACUCUAAUAUUACUGGGACGUUCAUGGGUUUGAUACGAUCAUGUGAAUUUUAACAAAAAUAAAGUAAAAUUAAAGAGUGUGUUAAAAGUGCAUGGUAGACACAAAUAAUGUCAUCACUUCUUAUUGUUUAGACUCACAUUUAACUAUCAAGAAGUGAAGAAUUCGAGUCCAUACACAUCAUAGUUAAUAUAUAUCAACGUAUUUAUCAGGUGUGUUCGCAAUGCAUAUUAGUUCAAUUUUGAGGAUAAAAGUCAUCAUAACAGCAGGAUAAAAAACAUGUGUGAUUUAGUUUGGUUCAAUUGACUUUUAAAAUAGAAACCGAAUCAAAAAAUGCAGUUCAAUUGAUUAGGUUGUUAUGGUUAUUUAUGAUGCAUUACAAUUUUUUUGUUUUCAACAUGAAGUCAAGUUAAAAACAACUUAUUUUCAACAAUGUUUCAAAUUUUAACAAUAUUGUAUUAAAUAGACCAAAAAACAUGCACAAAAAAACAAUCACGAUAAGAAGUGCAAAAUACUAAAAUUUUAUCAUUAUUCACACGUUUUCAUCGAGUUUUCUAUGAAAAAUGGUUCGGAUACAUCCGAUCCAAAUUCAAUUUUAAACAUGUACUCUCUCCGUCCCAAAUUGUAAGGAAAAAAAAAAAAUCAAAUCACACUUAUUAAGAAAACUAAAAGGAGCACAUUAUUCUGGCAUGACAUUUGGGUGGGGGAAGUUCCUUUAAAAUUUAAAUUUCCCCGCAUUUUUGACUUAUCAGUUCAUAAGGAGUGUCCGGUGGAGAUGAUGAGGAGGUUGUUAGGGGCGGUUGAUGGGAGGGAGAGGGUGUGGCGACGACGUUUGUUGGCGCGGGAGGAGGAGAGUGUGAGGGAGUGUUCUGUGUUACUUUUGAACAUUGUUUUGCAGGAUACUGUAGAGGAUACUUGGAGGUGACUUUUAGAUCCUAUUCAUGGAUAUUCGGUGCGGGGGGCUUAUUGCUUUCUCACAACUUCAGGUGAGUCGGCGGAUAGGUAUCAAGUUAUCGACGUUUGGCAUAAACAUAUCCCCUCUGAGGUGUUUGUGUUUGUUUGGCGCCUUCUUCGCAACAGACUUUCAACUAAGGAUAAUCUGGCGCAGCUGAGUAUUCUUUCUCACACAUAUGUGGCGUGCGUGUCUGGUUGCGGGAGUCGUGAAACAACAACACAUCUUUUUUGUUCUCAUGUUUGGCUUUGGUUGGGUAUCUCUUCGGUUUCAUUUGGUGAUCUUCAUCAACAUUUUAUUCAUUUCAUUAAUAUGGCGAGUCUGCCUAGAUCCACACAUAUGUUUUUCAAAAUCAUUUAGUUUACCUCUGUUUGGGUUAUUUGGAAGGAAAUGAAUGAUCGUGCGUUCAACAAUAAGGCAUAUACUUUCUCCAUUCUCAUUGAAAAGGUUAAACAAACAUCUUUUUUGUGGCUGAAAUCGAAACAUGCAAUAUUUACUUACAACUAUCAUGACUGGUGGAAUCAACCGCUCCUCUGUAUGGGUGUCCACUUGUAAUCUUUUUUAUUUGCUUUGUUGUUUUGGCGAUGCUAUGCUCUAAAUAACACCUUUUAUUGUACAUACUCUUUCGUGGUUCCCCUUUGCACGCCUUGUGCGGGGUAAAUCACCGUUGUUAAUAUAUAUCUUUUUUGUUUGUUCAAAAAAAGAAAACUAAAACAUAAUAAUUUGAAGUAUAAUUUUUUAUGUUUUCUUUAGAAUAAGUUUUAUUGAAAGAUGUAAAAACAAUUUUCAUUGGCUAUUGAUUAUGAAAAAAAUGAAAGGAGAAAAAUUAAAUAUAAUUUGCAUUUAAUUUUAUAAGAAUAAAAAAAAAAAUUCUUAAAAAAGAUGAUAAUUUUUAAAAAACAAGAUUAAAUAGGAUAAUUAAUUUUUUUCUUACAUCUUGGACGGAGGACAAUACUUACACUACAUCGUAAAUCUAGGAUGUCUAAACUAAAAGAGUUGAGUGUACUAAAAUGAUAAAAACGAUGUCGUUGAAAUGGUCAUUCCUCUUCUAACAAAAAAGUAGGAAGUAAAUUUCAGAUAUCUUCUCUAAAACCAAACACAAACCAACAUCUCUUCAACACACAAACCAUCUUCAUCCAAGAUCCGAUCAGAUCCAUCCAUUUCCACCUUCCAUUUCCUCUCACUUUAUCUCUCUACCCCCUUUCUCUCUCCAAUUCAACUUUCAAUUUUACAUUUCCACACAUCUUCGAAAAUUAGGGUUUCAUCGAAAAAUGCGACGGAUCGUCACUCACGCAUGAAUCUCUGGUGCUGUUUAUGGUUCAAUCGAGAAGAAGAAGACAAAGAAGCUGUAAUUCACGACGAAAGGUGUCAACUUGUUGAACCUGGUAUGAACAACAACGACGACGAAGAUAUUUUCGGAAACGUUAAUUCUGAUGAAGAUGAAGAAAUUGAAGCUGGGAAUUAUGAGGCCAAUUUUCGGAGAGAGUUUUUGAUUGAUGGGUUUGAUUCGUGGCCUGCUGUACGGCGCUCGAUCGGAGAAAGUAGCUCUGUUAGCGCCGCUGUAAUCCCGAAUUCCGGUCCGGAAAGUCCUGUUGCUGAUGAGAACCGUGAUUCGUCUCAUAAGCGUGCUAAGUUCUACAAGUGAGUGUAAUUUUUUAAUAAAAAUGCAUUUUUUUAUUUGGGUAUGGGUAUUUGUAUUGUUAUGAAAAAUGUUGAAUUGUUGUGAAAUGAAUUGAAAAGUGUUUAAUUUUAGUGUAUUGUAAUGACGUUUGAUGAAUUUGAUUGUGAUGAUUAAUGUUUUUAUUUUUUGUACGAAUUCUCUUUUUUUUUAUAUGACAAAAAUUCACUGUGUAAAUUAUUUAUGAUGGAGCAUUAUGACAUUGUUUGAUCCAUAGCCGACACCACUUAUUGGGAUAAGGCUUGGUUGUUUGGUGUUGUUGUGAAUUGUGUAUGUGCAUUGUUACGAGAGAAGGUUGUUUUGUUGAGAAAUGAAGUGAAAAGUGGCUAAUUUUACUGAGUUUGACUGCGACGAUUGAUUAAAUAAAACUUGUCUUGUGAACUAUGAUGUUGAUGUUUGAUUGUGAUGAUUUAUGUUUUUUUUGAGUGAUUUUUUUUAUAUAACAAAAAUUCAUUUUUUGUGUGAACUAUGAUAGAGCAUUAUUAUUUGACGUCGAAUGUUCCACAUAGCCCACACCACCUAGUGGGACAAGGCUUGAUUGUUGUUGAUAUUAAUUGUGUACGUGCUUUGGUAUGAGAAAAGGUUGUUUUGUUGAGAACUGAAGUGAAAAGUGGUCAAUUUUACGAGUUUGAUUUUGACAAUUGAUUAAGUAAAACUUGUUUUGUGAACUAUGAUGAUGAUGUUUGAUGAGUUUGAUUGUGAUGAUUUAUGUUUUUUUUAGUGAAUUUUUUUAUUUUUUUAUUUAUAACAAAAAUGCAUUUUUUGUGUAAAUUAUGAUAGAGCAUUUUGAUCUAUGACUCCGUUUGAUCCGUGUAGCCGACACCACUUAGUGGGAUUAGGCGUGAUUGAUGUUGUUGUGAAUUUUGUAUGUGCUUUGUUGUGAAAAAAUAUUGUUUUGUUGAGAAAUGAAGUGAAAAGUGGCUAAUUUUUCUGAGUUUGAUUGUGACGACUGAUUAAGAAAAACUUUUUUGUGAACCAUGAAGAUGAUGAUGUUUGACGAGUUUGAUUGCGUUUUUUGCAGUGAGUGUAACUUUGAUGAUCUGGCGUCUACGAGCAAAGUGAACUACUCUAUGGAUUAUGCAGAUUUUGACAGUUCUAUUCAGCCUAGUAAUAAUAGUUGUUAUGGCGAUUUUGCGUUGGUGUGUAGUGGUGAGGAUGGUAACGGUGUAGAAGACGGUGGAGGGAAUGAUGAUGACAAUUCAGAACUUGCAGAUCAAGAGAUUGUUAGGAUGGACCUUACAGAUGAUCUAUUGCAUAUGGUAAGAGACGGUGAAAGAACCGUUUUUUAUAUGGGUAUCAUUUAUGUGCAUCUUAAAUCAUUUUUGUGUGCUAUGAUAUUUGGGUUUGAUAACAAAAGUUUCACUUUCUUUAUUUGUGAAAUUUAGGUCUUCUCAUUUCUGGAUCAGAACAAUCUCUGCAGAGCUGCCAGAGUUUGUAAGCAGUGGCGGGCUGCCAGUACACAUGAAGAUUUUUGGAAGAGUUUGAAUUUUGAAAAUCGGGACAUAUCUGAAGAACAAUGUGAGCUUGAGUAUAUGUUGUUUUAUUUAUGAAUGUUUUUAGUUUUAUGUUUUUUCAGCAAACCUUUUAACAUUCAAGUUUUGGGUAUUGGAAACUGUGGAUUGUUAUUAGUAGAACUUCUGCUUUUGUAAAACUGUAAACCUUAAAAAGCAAAUGUACUUAUUCAAAGUUCAAUGUGUAAUUACAGUUGAGGACAUGUGUAGGCGUUAUCCGAAUGCUACAGCAUUGAGCAUAUCAGGACCUUCUAUUUAUUUGCUGGUCAUGAAGGCAAUCUCUUUGUUUAGGUAGGUAUUUUGUGCGACUUCGCAUUGAAUCAAGCCAUCUUAGACUCCAGCUUAUUUGUUUCAUUCUUUUCAGGAAUCUUGAGGUUUUAACAUUGGGAAGAGGACAGAUAGGGGAUGCAUUUUUUCUUGCUCUACCUGAUUGUACUAUGUUGAGAGAAUUGCAUAUCAAUGAUUCGACACUUGGAAAUAGUAUUCAAGAGAUAUCUAUCGUCCAUGAGAGACUGUGUCAUCUUGAAUUAACAAAAUGUCGUGUCAUGCGAAUACAAGUCAGGUGAAUAUGCCUCAAACUUCGACCGACACUUAGUUGUCACUUUAUUGAUACGAUAAAAAGUGAUGGUUUAUUCUUUUUUCAGGUGCCCGCAACUUAAAACCAUGUCAUUGAAGCGCAGUAACAUGGCACAAGUUGUGCUUAAUUGCCCUCUUCUGCUUGAACUUGAUAUGGGUUCUUGCCACAAACUUCCUGAUGCUGCUAUUCGUGCUGCUGCAACUUCAUGCCCUCAACUAGUGAAACUGGACAUGCGUAAUUGUUCUUGUGUCAGCGAUGAAACACUGCGUGAAAUAGCACAACAUUGUCCUAAUCUUGGUUUUCUUGAUGCAUCAUACUGCCCAAACAUAUCUUUGGAGGUGUGCUUUAAACUGUAUACUUAUUUUUUGCAUAUUUAAGAUUGUAUUUUGAACAAGAGUUUCUAGCUUUGUCUGACACGGUCACCUUUCUUUUUUAAGUCUGUUCGACUCCCAAUGUUGACCAUUCUAAGACUUCAUAGCUGUGAGGGCAUCACUUCUGCGUCAAUGGCUGCAAUAGCUCACAGUUCUAUGUUGGAGGUAUGUUAUUUGUUCCAGAUAUUGAUAUUAACGACUUGUCUGAAUUCCCGAGUAUUAGGACGAGUACAUGACAUAACUGCCAAUGCAGGUUUUGGAGCUUGACAAUUGCAGUCUAUUGACUUCGGUGUCGUUGGAUCUUCCACGUUUGCAGAAUAUUAGAUUGGUGUACUGUCGCAAGUAUGUUUCUGCUUCAUUUUCUCUCUCCCCAGAAAAGACAAAAUUCCAUUAUUGAUAUUUGUCUUACUCUGUUGCUUGUGUACUUAAUGUUUAAGAAAAUAUCCAAUCCUUAGUUUAUCUGAUUAAUUUUUUGAAUGGUUUCCUUGGCAGAUUAGCAGAUUUGAAUUUGAGAGCUAUAUCGCUUUCUUCUAUACAAGUGUCUAACUGCUCUGUACUCCACCGGAUCAAUAUCACUUCAAAUUCACUUCAAGUAUGUCGUGUAAUAAUGUCUUUUUAACUCCACAUUCUCAUAUUGCAUAGUAUAGCCCUCAAUGAUGACCUUUGUGGUUAUGCAGAAAUUAGCACUGCAAAAGCAGGAUAGCUUAACUACAUUAGCGCUGCAAUGCCAAUCUUUACAAGAAGUGGACCUCUCUGAGUGUGAAUCAUUGACAAACACUGUAUGUGAUGUUUUUAGUGACGGUGGAGGAUGUCCCAUGUUGAAAUCACUAGUUCUUGAUAAUUGUGAGGUACAUGAAUAUAUAUAUAUAUAUAUAUAUAUAUAUAUAUAUAUAUUAUUUUUGCAUUUCUUGGAUUCACUUUCUAAAAUUUCAUUAUUCAUGAGCUAUUUUAGUACUAUAUUUUGACAAUUCAAAUGGGUGUUUAAUGUUUUCCCACUCUUGAUCCUUUCUACACAAUUCUAAUUGUAUUUAUAAACGACAUCAUCAACUAAUCUAGUUGUGCCACACUGCCAUAACUUACUGAUUGAAAUUUUGCCCAUGGUUUCUAUAAUACCAAAGUACUUUUUUAUGUUAUAUUGUUAAUUUCUCACUUGAAGUUUCUGAAAAUGGUAUUUUUGGUAUUCUGACAGAAGUCGCAAUAGCAGUCUAAAGAAUUGUUGAAAUUCAUCAAUCAUUUAGUUAUUACAAUAUCAGUAUUUGAAUGAAUCAAUUUAAUACUAUUUACUUCAUAAAAAAUGUUUCAGCAGUGGGAAAUAAUUGGGAUUACGUCUUAACUUUCCUGGUUGUUGUAUAUAUGACAGAUUGGGUUUCUUUAAAUUCCUGGUAUUUUGUCGGUGAAAUGUUCUAUAUUCGUAUUAAUGGUAACAUUUUUUAUUUUAUUUUAUUUUAUCAUAUUUGGUGUUUGCUGCAUGUAGAGCUUGACUUCAGUUCGGUUCAUCAGCACCUCGUUAGUCAGUCUCUCCCUUGGUGGUUGCCGAGCAGUUACUACUCUUGAGCUAACAUGCCCUUAUCUUGAGAAGGUCAUAUUGGAUGGUUGUGAUCAUUUGGAAAAUGCAUCAUUUUGCCCUGUAAGUGAUACUGAUAUAUUAGAUGCUUCACAGUUCGAUUUUUAUGAGAGGAAAUCUUUUAUUUCCUCCCUAUUGAGUGCUUCAAUUAUUAUGAGCCGAAUUUUUUUUCUUCUUUCCUUUUGAGUUGAUCAUGUGAUGAAAUAUGCGAGAAAUUAAAACUACAGAAUAAUAGGUUAACAUCGUUUGCUUGUAUUUAUUUAGCUAUCUGCAUGGUUUAAGUAAUAGCUUCAUACAUUUCAUUCCUAGAGGUUGUUGUAUUAGGGCUUUGUAAUUUGGGACCACGGUUAUUAUCAGCGUGUUAAGACACAUUGGAUUCAUUUCAAUAAAACUUAACCCAAUAGAUAGAAAUCGUUGUUCAUAUCUAAUUUUGACCGUGAAGCUUAACACAAAUCUCGAUUCAUUGUGGCGAGUCCCAACUUGCCCACUGAAAUGUGAAACCAACUGCUUUUUACUGGCUGUGUGUAACCAACCACUUUCUUAGUAAAGAUUUGAUAAGAUCCGUAAUAUAGGAUUCAUGAUUUGAAUCUCAAUCUGAUAGCUAAGCAACUUCCGUUUUUCAUCUACUUCUCAGGUUGGUCUUCGAUCUCUCAAUUUAGGAAUAUGCCCAAAAUUAAACAUACUUCGCAUUGAAGCGAUGUUAAUGGUCUCACUUGAGUUGAAAGGAUGUGGUGGACUGUCUGAAGCAUCCCUUAAUUGUCCUCUCUUGACAUCACUGGAUGCUUCCUUUUGCAGGUGACGCUUUAUCUGCUAGUUUCUUGGUUAUCCUGCUUAUGUAUGGAGUAUGUACUGAUUGUUGUUUUGAAUUACAGCCAACUCACUGAUGACUGCUUGUCUGCAACAACCCGUGCCUGUCCACUGAUUGAGUCAUUAAUAUUAAUGUCCUGCCCAUCGAUUGGGUUAGAUGGACUCUGUUCCCUGCAUUGGCUCCCAAAUUUAGCUCUGCUUGAUUUAUCAUACACUUUCCUGGUGACUCUGCAGCCUGUUUUUGAUUCUUGUAAACAACUAAAGGUAAAAAACAUUAUAUUUUAGUUUACAUAUUUUUUACUGUCUUGCAAAUUACAAAUAGUAUAAUAGUAGUGAAGAACCGCUCCUCCCAUCCUCAAAACAAAUCUACGGAAGUGAGGGUUAUUUAGUUAAAAAACCUAGCAAAGUUAUGAUAUUACCAUACACGUACGAGUUUUGUGUCAAUCUUGUGAUUUAAAUACUUGUACAAGUGUUUGGAUACAGAUGGGAAUAAUGUGAGAUGUCCAUUAGUUGUUUUUAACAUAAUAAAGCUCAAAUGCUUGGUGAAUAAGAGCUUAAAUAAAAUGUCUAUCCAAGUGUACUCAUAGCCCUUUACUUUCUCCCCUCUAAUCUUUGUGAACAUGAAUUUGUUUAUUUUCCCCUUUAUUUGGAUUUUAUUAAAACAUAACGUGGUAAUAAUGUUAAUUGGUUCACUUUUGAAUGUACUGAUGAUAAUUUGUUGCUGAUGAAAUAGAUGGAUGGACAUGUCCAUACAUCUGUUAGAAGUCUUAAUUAAUUGUAAUUUUUUUAUUUUAUGUUUUUGGAGUGCAAAAAAACAAUUUAUUUUAUUUUUCAUCGGAGCUCAAAUAUUUUACGUCUUCCUGAAACAAUGAAGACACGUCUUCCUGAAACAAUGAAGACACAAAUUAACAGAGAAAUGGAGAUAGAAGGGGAUGGAAAAGAGUGAGAGGAAAAGUGGGUAAAACGAAGAUUAUUUUGUUUAAAGAAAUAGAAUGUUGUUACACACUUGCUUACUCAUUUCUUGGUCCACAGAUUAUGGAAUGAUGUAUGUUUGUAUCAUUAUUCUCUAUUCUUUAUCUGACGGUAACAUUUUUGUUUCUUGAAGGUACUAAAGUUGCAGGCAUGCAAAUAUCUCACCGACUCAUCACUUGAACCUCUUUACAAGGGGGGUGCUUUACCAGCUCUUCAGGAGUUGGAUUUGUCUUAUGGAACUUUGUGUCAGAAAGCCAUAGAAGAGCUUCUUUCUUGUUGCACUCACCUUACACGUGUGAGUUUAAACGGAUGUGUGAAUAUGCAUGAUUUAAACUGGGGGCACAGUCAAGGGAAGUUUCCUGAGUUACCUGGCAUAAGCAUCCUAUCCAUCGCAAGUUCCUACGAAAACAAUCAUGUGUCAAGUGAGCAACCCAUCCGAUUACUUCAGAACCUCAACUGUGUGGGUUGUCCAAAUAUUAGGAAGGUUUUCAUUCCAUCAACAGCACACUGUUCCCAUUUAUUAUUUUUAAACCUUUCACUGUCGGCUAAUUUGAAGGAAGUUGAUGUAGCUUGUCUCAAUCUAUGCUGGCUUAAUCUAAGGUAUUGUUCGCCCCUCAAAAGAAUGUGGAUUGGUUUCUGACCUCGAAACAAAUUAUAAUGUUUUGACUUAUCUCUUCAGCAACUGUUCCUCAUUGGAAGUUUUGAAGCUAGAGUGUCCGAGAUUGACCAAUCUAUUCCUUCAGGUUAUUAUUCUUAUCUGCCAAUUUAAAUUUAUCCACACACAUCAUAAUUGUUGUUUCUUGCAAACAUAUCACACUUAGGAAAUGGUUCCCAGUUCCAACCUAAUAGAGAUUGAGACUUGCAUGGUUAAUGAUUUAGUGAGACUCAACGAGUGAAUUUUACCAAAUAGGAGUGUCUGUGUGUGUUGGAAAGAAUGCGUGAAGAUCGAAUUGCUAGCAUUGCCUUCACUGCAUUACAAUUUAGAAUUCACAACUGUCGGAAAGAAUGUGUUAAGAUUUUAUUGCUAGCAUUGCUUUUUUCUGCAUUACAUUUUAUAGCGCUGUCAUUGGCUAUCAUUAUCUUUUUAGAAAAUUAUACGGUAGUGUUUUUGUCCCAAUCUUUUGGCUGGUUUAUCCCUCUCCUUUUUAAGAAUGGGCUGCAUACAUUUUUCUUAAAAAAAUGUUAGGGUAUGGGGUUGACCUCUGGUCCUUCACCUAAAAUAAAUGUGACAUUUGAUAUUCCUCAAAUCACUUGAGGAAUAUUUUUUUUUAAAAUUGUAAUGACUUAACUUCAGUCAUUCUUGCAACCCAUCCUUUGAUUCAUUGUUGUGUUAAUAGUUAUUUGCUUUCUAAUAUGUUUGUUCGCGUUUGGACAAUUUGGUUUUUUUAGGCGUGCAAUAUUGAUGAGGAGGCUGUUGAAGCUGCUAUAUCAAAAUGUACUAUGUUGGAGACUCUUGAUGUUCGCUUCUGUCCUAAGGUGAGAGCAAAUGCAUAUAAUAUUUUUGAAAUGUUGAUUUCGGCAAAUGAACCUUUAUUUUGCAUAUGAUUGUUGCAUGGGAUGUUCUUCAAUCAUUUAUGGGAUAUUUUAUGGUGCUUUGCAGAUAAGCUCAGCGAGUAUGGGAAAAUUUCGUGCAGCAUGUUCUGGUUUGAAGCGUAUAUACAGCAGCUUGUCAACUUCAUCAGCAUGAUUUAGAAUCUUUGAUGUUUUGUGGUGCUUGUUCACUCGGAGAGAAGGCACACUUGGCAAUAAAUCGGGUUAUUCCUAAUGUAUUGUAAAUUGUUAUCUUUUAUAUUGUUGUUUGUUUGGCAUAUAGAAAUGAGGUUAUCUUCAUGCAUUGCCACAAUAAGUUUUUGAUGUUUUUUACUUGUUGUAAAUUUUAUAUUUCAAUUUGUUGCUGCAUAUUGUAUUCUGAAAUGUUCUGAAGAAUAGGUGUUUGUUUGAUCCUUUUCAUAUACAUUUUAUGCUGUAAUAUUGACAUUUACAUUUUGAAGAAUAGAUGCUUGUUUGAACUUACAUUUUGCGAUGGUUGGACGAAUUGCAUUUGUAGUUUGAUACUGUCUGUUUCUUUACAUGAUUGCAUAUUUACAAUUAUAUAUUUUGAUGAAAUUUUAAUAUAUGCACAACAUCAAAUGGAACAUUCGACCUGCCAGUUAUUCCCUCAACUCUAAAGUUAGCUGACGUUAAAAUAUUAACCCAGCCAACAUUUUCAAAUCCACAUUCAUCUUUGAAUAAUGCCUUUAGCGUUCUACCUUAUCAUAGACAUGUCUAUCUGCACUUCUAUUGAGGUGGAAUUUUAUAAUGUUUGGAAAUAUUUAGUGUUUGAAAUGGUAUUAUCACUACAGAGAAGAAAUUAAUGUAUGAUUCCAUUUCAUUUACCUGACUACCAAAUGAAGAUAAAAUGUACUCCUUUCCUUAAUUUUCAGUAAAUUAUAUUAUUAAUCUGAAAUUCAAAUUUAAGUCAGUGCUCUCAUGGUCCUAAAUAAAGUCCUUUGCAUUACUUUAUAAUAAUACAACAAAAUUAAACCAAAUGUGUAAACUCAAGCUUUGAUUUAAAGGAUUAUUAUCGUACAACUGAUUUAAUUCUUUAGGAUCCUAUAUGUAAAACAAGAAACCUCAGUAGGAAAUGAAGCAGAAGAACAGAGGAUGGCAUUUUGAUGGAAUUGAAAGAGAGAAACUGCUGAUAGGUUUUCUGAGGAAUACCACUAACCGCUCUUUUAAUUCGCCAUUAAUUAUUUAUUUCUUCUUUUUAUAAAUGUCCCUCCAACAAGCCGGCCUUAGUUUUCUCUCUCUAGGUUUUCUUUUUCAGUGGUGGUUUUGGGUUAAUUCUUGAUCUGAAAUCACCCCCUUUUCAUCUUUCUCUCUCAAUUUCAAUCUAAAUAAGUGAUUUUCACAUAGAUCUAAGUUUUUUCUUUGUGAUUUCAUCAUCUAAGUGUGGUGGUUUGUUGUUCGUCGUCUUGUGCAGCGUUGUUUGAUUUCCCGUCUUCUUGCGGUGUUCUUUGAUUUAUAUUUGAAAGAUCGAUUAUUCAAUCAAAGAUUUGGGUGUCAACGUUGCAGAUCCAGAGGUCAUGUAUAUUUCGGUCACUAUAAUUUUAACAUAUAUUUUUGUAGGCAUUAUGCCGUUAUAUGCUAUUAACUUGGAUGUUGUGAGUUUGUUCGUUGAUUAUCCUUUAUGUUUUUAGCGGUGUUUAAUGAUGUAAUCUCUCGAUUUGAAUGAAUGAAUAUCAUUUUAUUUUUUUCAAAAAAAGAAAAGAAGAGCAUCGAAAUGUAACUUCUGAGAGAACUGUGAGUAACUUCCAUAAACAUAUAAUAAACGGUCCUUAAAUUAUUUUUAAUGCAAGUCCAUGAAAUAUUGCUUUCUUUUCUAUUUUAAAAGUAAUUAAGGGACUAACAUGUUAAAUUAAGUAUAAUUUAUGGACUAUUUGUUGCGGUAUUGUCUAAUGUGCACAAAUAAAUUACUAUUGCAUCAUGUACAAUUUUUUUUUUUUUGGGUACAAAUGUACAAGUUUUUUUUACUAUUAGAACAAUAAGUCUUAUCACAUCUCAUUUGAUCCAAUAAUGAAACUUGUUGAUAUACUCAUGAAAACAAAUUUAUGCAUGAUGUAAAACUUGUUUCAUUUAUGCACCAUACACUUGACCAUUUAUUUGUCGUAUAUUUAUAUGAAUUCUGCUCUUCCCCCUGCACUUUUCGCUCGCGCCCUGCAGUCUUGCCAAAAAUGCCCAUGCGUGAGUUAACUCACGCUGGUUUUCUUUCAAUAUUUACUUUGGCUACUUUUACUACUUUCACGCUUUCUCCAACCUCAGCAACAUAAUUCAAAAGUUUCAAUUCCAAACAAGACAUUUUUAUAUGGUUUCAGUUUCAACACCAUCAACUUCACCUAUUGGUAUGAAUGUUAGAAACAAUUCAGGAUUUAAAUGAAAAACUUGGUUCUUGCUCAAAUGGGAGAGAAACAAUUCUUGCUCAAAUGAAGACUUAGAAACAACUUCACCUAUUUUUAUAUAGUUUUGUGGCUCAAAUGGGAGAGAAACAAUUGUUUUUCCCAAAUUUGCUAUUGAUUUGUCCCGAAGUUGCAGACUAGCAAAAUUAAAACCUUCAUCUUAAAGUUAAUUUAAAUGGGAUGCAUAGGAUUAUGCGAGCUAGAGAAUUUCUCGUCUCUAGGUUAAGAAAAAGAAUAAUGCUAGCAACACUCUUUUCAACUCUCUCUUUUAUUGGUUUGAAUCAUUGUGGGUCUACACUUUGGAAAUUGAACCUACACAAAGUGGUGUGACAUAUAUUGAUUUAUUUAAUAGAAGAGUGAGUGCUAGAGAGAGUGUUGAAAAGUGAGUGUUGCUAGCAUUCUUCAAAAAAUAUUUCUCUCAUUUCUUUUAGCCAAAUUUGGUUCUUUUUGCAGUACACUAUUUUAUGUGCUACUACUUUCUCAGUUUUGGUUUUUAAUGAAGACUUGGUUCUUGCUCCAGUCUUUAUCUCCACACAUAUUUUGAAUGUCUAUUAUAUUGCUUUUGUUUUAUCGUAAUCACAUGUAAUUUUUUUAAUCGUGGAAUUAUUGAUAUUUCAAUGAUGAAUAUUCACUAGUCCAAGUUUUUCCUUUUGAUGUAGGAGUGGUUCUAAUUAGUUCAACCUUAGUGUUUACAAAUGUAAUGUCAUAUGUGUGUACGAUAUUAAAUAUCAAAAGAAUGAUUGAAAGAUGAAGUCUGAUAUUAGAUCUAUAAAUGUUAAACAAGAAAAGUAAUACAUUAAAAUGAUUUUGGUUCAAUUGCGAUUUGAAAAGAUAAUUGCUCUAAAUAGAUUUUACAAAUAUUUCUACCAAGAAAAUAUGAAGUUUAUUAGCUUAAAUACACAUUAUUGUACUUUCAAAGAAGACACUAAUUAGCUUAAAAAACAUUAGUUUAUCUUACAUUUAAAAUUCAACACUCUUAGCUUUCGGAAGAUUGAUCUUGUUUAUAACUAAUAUUUUAGUUAAUCGCAAAAAUGAGAGAAAAUUGGUAAUCAAUAAAGAGUUUAUAUGGUAGCAACAUUUUUUAUUACGUGAUAGAACCGUGCAUUUGAUGUGACUAUCAUUUUUUAAGCAAGUUGGUUUGGUAUCUUUGUAGAGGAAGUGAAUAAGUAUCCUACGAUGAAUAAAAAUCUAGUCUUCAAUUUUUUUUUUUAAAGGAGUCUUCAAAUGUUAUAAAUAAACUUUUACACAAGUGUACAAAUUAUAGAGGAUGAUUGAUCACUGAAAAUUAAUAGGAUUAACAUGUUCAACUAUAUUCUUCACAAACAACAGAAAAAUAAGUUCAUGAAUAUCUUACAACACACAAUGAGCAUGCAUGCAAGGUUUCUUUUUUUUAACAAACAAAAAUGGAUUAUAUUAAAGUGUUAUAUAGCAGUCCUUUUAGUAUAAGGUGUAUCGAAAAGACUACUAAAAAAAACAAGCAGUUCACAUAAAAUACAACAAGUGGUUAGUCAAUGCCUAAACACGACAAUGGACUCGAUGACUCCGCAUGCAAGGUUCUUACAUUACAAAGAUGCUUUACACUUCAAAACAAGAAAGAGAAGAAUAAGAAUGAAAACAAUACCACCAGAAGAACCACCAACUCUAUGAAUCCAAUUACGAUCAAACCUUGUGAAGCUCUUAUCCAAAAAAGCUGAUAAAGAUAUGACUAAAACCAAUACAAAAAGUAACAUUGGUAACCAUAAAGUAACACUAAUUGGUUGUUCAUCAUCUUCCAACUCACUCUCUGAUCUGUGAUCUAUGUAUAGAGGAGAAGCCACAGCUAGAACUACUAAGCUUAUGGCUGCUACUCUCUCAUAAGAUGAAAAUUUGUGACCCCUCCUACUAGCUUCAGGUUCCAUUCAGAAGAUUGAUUUAGAUGAAAAUUGUGUUGUUAAUUAAAAUGUAUGUAUAUAUGAUAUGAUAUGAUGGAAUUGCAACACAAAAAUGUUGAUAUGGUAAGUGGAAUAUUGCUUUUCAAAGUAUGCACUAACUAAAGAGCAUCGGAUUCUCACUAACUACUAUAUUCUCAUUCAUGUACUAAUGUGGGACCCGAAUAAAAAUGAAUAUCAAUGUGCGCAAUCUUUUUUAACCAUUUUCUUUUUUGAAAGAUAGAGAACAAUCAACAAAGAACUAGAAACUCCAGAACCAUCAGCAACUAACAAGUGAUUAAUCUAAGCUGGGGCUAGCAAGCUCGUAGAAAAUCAAGAAGAAUAAGCUAUCACAAAUCGUUAUUGGCCAAAGCAUAAGCGAAAUUCCAACGGCACUUGACCUUGUGAAAGGGGCUAUCCCACGAUAUGAUAAACCAAUGUUGGAAUCUCAACUAUGAGAAGUACUCUCAUUAAAGUCCGACACACCUCAAAUAGGAUUACAUCUAGCGAAUGAAACCUACGGAAAAAGGAAACAUCAACGCAAUGAUUUGCUUCACAAUAAUAAUGACAAAUUUUUACUUCUCAAUCCAUAUGUAAAAGCCUUUGAAUCUAUAACACCAACCAAAUAUUUCAAAUCCUUUUUAACUUUGAUCAUACUCCCUCCGUCCUAAAUUAUAAGCCAAAAAAAAAAAUCACACUUAUUAAGAAAAGUAAAACAUAAGAAUUUGAAGUAUAGUUUUGUGUUUUUUUUUGAAAAAGUUUUAUAGGAAUAUGUAAAAACAAUUUUUAUUGGCUAUAUAUUGGUUAUGGAAAAAAUGAAAGAGAGAGAAAAUUGAAUGAAAUUUGCAUUUAAUUUUAUGAGAAUAAACAAAAGUUUUACUUGGAAAAGAGAUUUAAAAAAAAAAAACAAGAUUAAAUAGGAUAAAAAUUUGUCUUUUUUGCUUAUAUUAUGGGACAGAGGGAGUAAUUGUUAUGCUCACAACAAAUCUGUUAGGUCAUGAGGGGAGCUCGGAGGACCGUCCACAUCGAGGCUAGAACAACCACACUAGUGAGAGAGACUCCACAUUCUUACCUAAAACCUUAAGGCAAUGGGUUUAUGAGUCCUCUUACUUAUAAGGUGUACAACCUUUACUUUUUUAUCCGAUGUGUGACAUAUAACUGACUCUUGCACACAACAAAAUCGUCCUUAAAUUACUCUGUUCUUUCUUAGCUAUAACACCUAGUCAACAUCCAAGUACGUACGAGAAAUCCUACCCACUAGAAAACAAGUGAAAGACACAAAUGUGGGACCAUAAAGUGUGCUGGCUUGAACUUAACCCAAAACCUACUUAAUUCUAAUUAACCACCCUAAUUACUACUUCGGUUCGAAAUUAUAAAUCGUUUUAAAAUAUCCGUUAAAUAUUAAUAUUACUUUUCCAAUUAUACUAUUAACUAUUUAUUACUUUAUCUUCUUUCAAUUCUUUUAUUUAUCUUUCUCAUAUCAUUAAUGAAGGAUAAUUUUGUAAAAUUACUUAUAAUUUUGUUUUCUUAUACAAAAUUAAUUACAUUUAUUAAUUUGCGUAAAAUAUCCAAAACAACUAAUAAUUUUGGACGGAGGAAGUACCUCACAAAUCAAGUAAAUGACCAAUAAAUUGAGCUAAAUGAAGCCGAUAACUCUUAUUUCUGAGUUAUGAGUGGUUAAUGAUCUCCCAAUUACUAAAUGAAUGAUAUACAAGAGAUGUGACUCAUAUACUUAAUACGUCAAUUUUUUUUAAAUUUUUUUUUUUAUGUUAUGUGUUGUUAAAAUCUCGUGGGAAACAAGUUGCUUAAUAAUAGUGGUGUCCAAAUGUUGAGAAACUUUUCUUCAACUCCAAAUAAUAUCCUUUUUAAACCAUUUAUUUAUUGAAACGUUUAAAACAACUUCACCCCACACUUGCAUGAAUAUGGUUCGCAAAAUGCAUUGUUUUGCUUCUGUGUAUAUACAUGAUAAAUUGAUUUCUCAAGCUGCACGAUCGUGAACAACUCAACAAAGACAUGCACUAUGUUGAUUCAAACAGCAUGGUCAUGCAUAUAAAUCGACAUCAACAUACUAUAUUCAAAGAGUUAAAAGAAAUUGAAAUCCAUUACAUUUAUUGAUCUUUACAUGAAAUUGAAAUCCAUGGAAGAUACUCAUUCAAACCACCCUUUUACACUAUAGAUUCUACCACAUCACACAAAUUCUUAUUCUAUCACACAACCCAGCUAAAUCCUUUCCAUUCCUCUCAACACAAAACACACAAAUGGAUGAUUUACUUGCAUUCCAUAUUUUUCAAUAACACAUUUUUUUCAAUGUAAAUCCCAAUAAAUUUUAUUACACGGGAAAGAUGAAGAUGGAAUUAGGGAUGAAUAUGGAUUUGAGGUAGAUGCAGAUGAACCCUAAUUGCACCAACUUAUAUUAGUGGCAUUUUGUUUCUAUUUUUUUAAUUUGUAAUUUUUAAGCUCGCAUUCACGUCUGUAUUUCAUUGGCCAAGUGUCCCUUUCAAACGACCAACUCACGAAAGGGACGAACUUACCUCAAUAUUGUUAAUGUUUUGGACCAACUUAAAAUAUUUAAAACAUAAGUCAGGAAAAAUUUAAAACACAAACGACCAAAAUAAAAUCUAAAAUAAACAUAAGAGACCAAAAAUACAAUAUUUUACUAUAUUAUCUAAAAUUUCAUUUUAACAUUUACAUUCUAUAUCUUUAAAUAAAAUAUGAGGAGACGACGCAGCAAGUGAGGAAAAAUUCAACACAUCUCUAUUUCCAUGUAUUUUUAGAACUUGGUAUCGACUUACUUAACGCGUGAUGGAGCUAUAUGAGAUGAGCAAAAAAGACUUGCUCUAUGUUUUCAUUGAUUUAAAGAAUGCGUAUGAUAUAUUGUAUGGAAAGCCCUAGAGAAGAAAGGAGUAAGGAUUACUUAUAUUUGAGCUAUCAAGGACAUCUACUAGGAGGCUUCAACUAGUGUGAGGACGCACGAUGAGGUCACCAACGAUUUUCCCGUAACAAUAUGAUUGCAUCAAGGAUCAACCUUAGUCCAUAUCUUUUUACCUUAGUUUUGGAUGUACUUAUAGAACACGAGCUAGGAUCGAGAUGUAUGUUUUUUGAAAAUGAUGCAGUUCUACUUGGAGCAUUGAAGGAGGUUGGAGAUAAGCUUUAAAAACACACAACUUCUGUUUUAGAGGUAAAAAUUGGAGAUUAUAUCAUUUCACAAAUUACACAAUUUAAAUAUCAUGGGUCCAUAAUAUAAAACGAUGGAGAAAUAGAAGCAAAUAUAAUUCAUCAAAUUCAAUAUGGGUGCUUGAAAUUAAUGAGUUGAACCGAAAUAUGGUUUAUGAUUAAACAUGGUAACAUAAGCCGACCCCAUUUAAUACGAAAAUGUUUGAUUCGGUAUCUAGUCCAUGAACCGACAUAUCGGGGUUCAAUCUCAUCGAUCAUUUGCCGGACCCAUUUAAAGUUAAAAGAAGAACAUGAGAAGAGGGAGUAUAAUUUUGCUCGAAGCUACACAGUGUGUAUAUGGAAGGAAAGAGCAAUAAUAUUUGGGAGAACACUUGCAAAGCAAUAAUUUUUCUCCUAUAUGCAUGCAAAGGUUCGUACAUGGGUUGAUGUGAGUUUUUGACCUCGACAUAGGCACAUAGCAGUGUAGGUUCAAUCAAACUAAGAUAGCGCCUAAGAUAAUGGUGAUUUAUGAAGCAGCCCAAAUGGCAUUACAUAUAGUAAGAGAUGAUGAAACAAUCCUUCUUUGUGACAUUUACAUGUUUUUUUUUUUUAAAUGAAUUUAGUGUGUUUUGAUAUCAAAGUCUUUUUUUUUCUAAGAUUUUUCUAUAACUUUAAAUUUCUGUACUUGUGAAAUUUAGGUUUUCUCGUAUCUGGAUCAGACCAAUCUCUGCAGAGCUGCUAGAGUUUCUAAGCAGUGGCGAACCGUUAGUACUCAUGAAGAUUUCUGGAUGAAUUUGAAUUUUGAAAAUCGGAACAUAUCUGAAGAACAAUGUGAGCUUGAGUAUAUGUUGUAUUCUUUAUAAAAGUUUUUAGUUUUAUAAAUGUGCUUAUUUAAAGUUUUAUGUAUAAUCACAGUUGUGAGCAUGUGUAGGCGUUAUCCGAAUGCUACAUCAUUGAGCAUAUCAGGACCUACUAUUGAUUUGCUGGUCAUGAAGGCAAUGUCUUUGCUAAGGUAGGUAUUUUGUGUGACAUUGCACUGAAUCAAGUCAUGUUGGAUUCUGGCUGAUUUGUUUCAUUAUUUUCAGGAAGCUCGAGGUUUUAACAUUAGGAAGAGGACAAAUAGGGGAUGCUUUUUUUGUUGUUCUACCUGAUUGUUCCAUGUUGAGAGAAUUGUAUAUCGAUGAUUCUACACUUGGAAAUAGUAUUCCGGAGAUAUCUGUUGUUCAUGAGAGAUUGUGUCAUCUUGAAUUAAUAAAAUGUCGUGGGACGCGAAUACAAGUCAGGUGAAUAUGCCUCAAAGUUUGACUGACACCUCCGAUGAUAAAAUAAAAAGUGAUGGUUUAUUCAUUUUUCAGGUGCCCACAACUUAAAACUAUGUCUUUGAAGAGCAGUAACAUGGCACAGGUUGUACUUGAUUGCCCUCUUCUACAUGAACUUGAUAUUGGUUCUUGCAACAAACUUCCUGAUGCUGUUAUUCGUGCUGUUGCAACUUCAUGCCCUCAACUGGUGAAGCUGGACAUGCGUAACUGUUCUUGUGUCAGCGAUGAAACCCUGCGUGAAAUAGCGCAGCAUUGUCCUAAUCUUGGUUUUCUUGAUUCAUCAUACUGCCCAAGCAUAUCUUUGGAGGUGUGCUUCAAAUUGUAUACUCGCUUUUUUGCAUAUGUAAGCUUGUAUUUUGAACUAAAGUAUAUGGCUUUUCUCUUUUAAGUCGGUUCGGAUGACAAUGUUGACAAUUCUAAGGCUUCAUAGCUGCGAGGGCAUCACUUCUGCAUCAAUGGCUGCUAUAGCUCAUAGCUCUAUGUUGGAGGUAUUUUAUCUGUCCCAGAUAUUGAUAUUAAUGACAUGUCUGAAUUCAUGAGUAUUACGAUUAAUACAUUUAACCACCCCGCCAAUGCAGGUUUUGUAACUCCGCAGUUGCAGUCUAUUGACUUGAGCGUCGUUGGAUCUUCCACAUUUGAAGAAUAUUAGAUUGGCGUACUGUCGCAAGUAUGUUUCUGCUUCAUUUUCUCUCUCCCCAGAAAAGCACUAUAAUUCUAUUAUUGAUCCGUCUCUCUCUAUUGCUUUUCACUUUCUGUUUAAGUCAAUACCAAAUCCUUUUUUCUAUUGUUGCGCCUAAUUUAUUUUUUUGAAUGGUUUCCUUUGCAGAUUAGCAGAUUUGAACUUGAGGGCUAUAUCGCUUUCUUCUAUACAAGUGUCUGACUGCUCUGUACUUCACCGGAUCAAUAUCACUUCAAAUUCACUUCAAGUAUGUGUUAUACACUUAUACUUAUGUCUUGUUUCAUUCCCCAUUCUCAUAUAUUCUAGAGUAUAUGCAGACAUUAGCACUGCAAAAGCAGGAUAGCUUAACUUCAUUAGCAUUGCAAUGCCAAUCUUUCCAAGAAGUGGAUCUCUCUGAGUGUGAAUCUUUGACAAAUUCUAUAUGUGAUGUUUUUGGUGAUGGUGGAGGAUGUCCUAUGUUGAAAUCACUAGUUCUGGAUUAUUGUGAGGUACAUGAACAAAUAUUUCUUUUGAAUUUCUGGAUUUAUUUUCCAAAAUUUGAUUAUUCAUGAGCUAUGUUAGUAUAGUAGUAUAUUCUGACAAUUCAAAUAAGUGUUUUCCUACUCUUGAUCCCUUUUACACAAUUCUAAUUGUUUUUUAUAUAAUCAACUAAUCCAGCUGUACCAUAACUUAUUGAUUGAAGUUUUGCUUGUGAUUUUUAUAAUACUGAUGUACUUUUUUUGUAUGUCAUAUUGAUGAAGUUUAUGAAAGGGUAUUCUUGGUAUUCUCACAAAAUCAGUUUAAAGAACUACUGAAAUUUGUGACUUUAGUUGAAAUAAUUGCAUGAAUCAUUAUUAGUUGUUACUAUCAGUGUUUAGCGGUAGAUGAUCCUUGGGAUAAUGUCUCAACUUUUCUGGCUGUUGUAUCUGUGAGAGAUUAGGUUUCUUUUCAUUCCUGGGAUUUUGUUGGUCAAAUGAUCUAUACUUGUAUGGAUGUUAACAUUCUUUAGCCUGCUUGUUGUUCGCUGCAUGUAGAGCCUGACUUCAGUUCGCUUCAUCAGCACCUCGAUAAUCAGUCUUUCUCUAGGCGGUUGUCGAGCAAUCACUACUCUUGAGCUAACCUGCCCUAAUCUUGAGAAGGUCAUUUUGGACAGCUGUGAUCAUUUGGAAUAUGCAUCAUUUUGCCCUGUAAGUGACAUUGAUUUAUUAUACAAUUUAUACUUGAUUUUUGUGAGAUGAGUUUUUUUAUUUCUUGCCUUUUUUGUGCACUUCGAUUUUUAUCAGCUGUAAUUUUUUAUUUCUUCUUUCCUUUUGAGUUGAUCAUGUGUUGAACUAUGUGAAAUAAGAACUACAGAAUAAUAGUAUAACAUCUUUUGCUUGUAUUUAUUUAGCUAUCUGCAUGGUUUAAGUAAUAGUUUUAUACAUUUGCAGUCCAAGAGGUUGCUGUUAUGUUAAGGCUUUGUAAUUGGGACCACAGUUAUUAUCAGUGUAUUAAGAUACCUUGAAGUCAUAUCUUGAUUUUGAAUAAAUCAUGAAUCGUAGUAAAUAUUUGGAUAAUAUUCGGAAAAUAGGUCUUCCGAUUCAUGAUUUGAAUCUCGAUCUGAAAGCUAAGCAACUCCCUUUUUUCAUCUACUUCUCAGCUUGCUCUUCGAUCUCUCAAUUUAGGAAUAUGCCCAAAAUUAAACAUACUCCGCAUUGAAGCAACGUUAAUGGUCUCCAUUGAGUUGAAAGGAUGUGACGGACUGUCUGAAGCAUCCCUUAAUUGUCCUCUCUUGACAUCUCUGGAUGCUUCCUUUUGCAGGUGAUGCUUUAUUUGCUAGUUUCUUGGCUAUCCUGCUUGCGUAUGGAGUAUGGACUGAUGUUUGUUGUUUUGAAUUAUAGUCAACUCAAUGAUGACUGCUUGUCUGCAACAACCCGUGCCUGUCGACUAAUUGAGUCAUUAAUAUUAAUGUCAUGCCCAUCGAUUGGGUUAGAUGGACCCUGCUCCUUGUAUUGGCUCCCAAAUUUAACCCUGCUUGAUUUAUCAUACACUUUCUUGGUGACUCUGCAGCCUGUUUUUGACUCUUGUAAACAACUAAAGGUAAAAAACAUUAUAUUUUAGUUUACAUAUUUUUUACUGUCUUGCAAAUUACAAAUAGUAUAAUAGUAGUGAAGAACCGCUCCUCCCAUCCUCAAAACAAAUCUCCAGAAGUGGUGGUUAUUUAGUUUGAUAAACCUAGCGAAGUUGUGAUGUUAUACUACCAUACACACAGAAGUUGUUCAGAAGAGCUUAUUUGUGUCUAUCUCGUGUUUAAAUACUUAUAUUAUUAAUGUUUUUGGAUUUAAAAAAAAAAACAUUUAUUUCAUUUUUCAUCGUUUCCUGCUUCUGCAACAAUGAAGACGCAGAAAUUGGCUGGAAAAUGGAGAUAGAAGGGGACUGAAAAGAGAGAGGAAAAAGUGGGCAAAACUCCUAACAUUAUUUUGUUUAAUGAGUUACUCAUUCCUUGGUCCACAGGUUAUGGAAUGAUGUAUAACAUUUGUAUAAUUAUUUUCUUUGCCUUUUUCUGACGGUGACAUUCUUGUUUCUUGAAGGUUUUAAAGUUGCAGGCAUGCAAAUAUCUCAUCGACUCAUCGCUUGAACCUCUUUACAAGGGGGGUGUUUUACCAACUCUUCAGGAGUUGGACUUGUCUUAUGGAACUUUGUGUCAGCAAGCCAUAGAAGAGCUUCUUUCUUGCUGCAGUCACCUUGCACAUGUGAAUUUGAAUGGCUGUGUGAACAUGCAUGAUUUAAACUGGGGGCAAAGUCGAGGAACUUUUCCUGAGUUACCUGGCAUAAGCAUCCUAUCCAUCGCAAGUUCCUACGAAAACAACCAUGUGUCAAGUGAGUGACCCACCCGAUUACUUCAGAACCUCAACUGCGUGGGUUGUCAAAAUAUUAGGAAGGUUUUCAUUCCAUCAACAGCACACUGUUCCCAUUUAUUGUUUUUAAACCUUUCUCGGUCAUCUAAUUUGAAGGAGGUUGAUGUAGCCUGUCUCAAUCUAUGAUGGCUUAAUCUAAGGUAUUGUUUGCCUCUCAAAUGAAUGUGGAUUGGUUUCUGUCCUCAUAACAGAUCGUAAUGUUUUGACUUAUCUCUUCAGCAACUGUUUCUCAUUGGAAGUUCUGAAGCUAGAGUGUCCGAGAUUAACCAAUCUAUUCCUUCAGGUUAUUAUUCUUAUCUACCAAUCUAAACUUAUUCAUGCACAUCAUGAUUAUUGUUCUGGAUAUACUUUAAAAUUUAUUGUGGUAAUAUGUUUUUUCAUAUUUUCUGCAUGAAAAAUUCUAGCAACACACUAUCAGACGCAUUCUUUUGUACGCUCUUUGUUAUUGAGUGAAAUUCAUGAGUCCUACCACGUAGGAAAUGGUUCCCAGUUCCAACCCAAUAGAGAUUGAGACUCAACAAGUGUGUAAAGAAUGUGUUAAGAUUGUAUUGCUAGAAUGUGUUAAGACUCAACCUGUAUGUGGGUGUUGGAAAGAAUGUGUUAAGAUUGUAUCGCUGGAAAUGUUUUUACUGCAUUACAAUUUACAAUUGUCAUUGACUAUCAUUAUUGUUUUAGAAAAUUAUUAUUCUUUCGUCUUGGGUUAUGCGACUCCUUUCAAGAAUGGGCGGCAUACAUUUUCCUUAAAAACUGUUAGGGUAUGGAGUUGACCUCUGUCCUUUACUUGAAAUAAAUCUGACAUUUGAUAUUCAUCAUUUGAGGAAUAUUGUUCAAUUGUAUGACUUAAAUUUAGUCAUUCUUGCAACCCAUUCAUUAAUUCAUUGUUAUAGUUAUUUGCGUGCUCAAGUUGAGACAAUUUGAAUAUUUUAGGCUUGCAAUAUUGACGAGGAAGCUGUUGAAGCUGCUAUAUAUGUUGAAGACUCUUGAUGUUCGCUUUUGUCCUAAGGUGAGAGCAAAUACAUAAAUUUUUUGAAAUGUUGAUUUCAGUUAAAAUGAAACUUUAUCUUGCAUGAUGCAAUGCAUGGUUGCUUGAAUGUUUGUUUUUAUCAUGUUCUUCAAUCAUUUGUGAUAUUCUAUGGUGCUUUGUAGAUAAGCUCAACAAGCAUGGGAAGAUUCCAUGCAGCAUGCUCUAGUUUGAAGCGUAAAUAUAGCAGCUUGUCAACUUCAUCGGCAUGAUUUAGGAUAUUUUAAGUUUCGUGGUGUUUGUUCACUUGGAGAGAACGCAUGCCUGACAUUAAAUCGAGUUAUUUCUAAUGUAUUGUAGAUUUUUAACUUUUGUAUUUUUGUGUUUGUUUGGCAUAUAGAAAUGAGGUUAUCUUCAUGCAUUGUAACAAUAAGUUAUCCUUGUUGUAAAUUUUACAUUUCAAUUUGUUGCUGCAUAUUUUAUUCUGAACUGGUCUGAAGAAUAGGUGCCUGUUUGAUCUUACAUUUUACGAUGGAUGCGGGUAUUUACAUUUAUAGUUUGAUAUUGCCUGUUUCUUUAACAUGAAUGCAUAUUUACAAUUAUAUUUUGAUGAAAUUUUCAUAUAUGCACGAGAUCAAAUGGAAUCAGUGUGCAUGAACUUAUUUGAAUCAACAUUCGAUCUGCCAGUCUCAAACCUACACCAUCAAACCAACCCUUGCGGGUUAGAUUUUUCCAAACUUGUUGAUUUGCCAUAAAGUGUGCAUGAAUUUAUUGAUUUUCCAAACCUACACUAUCAAUUAUAUCUUGAUUUUAAGUGGACGCAUUGGAUUAUACAAGGAGUCUCUAGGUUAAAAAUAAGAUAUAUCUCUCAUCUUUUAGCCAAAUUUGGUUCUUUUUGCAGUAUAAUUUUUUAUGCGCUGAUUUUCUCAGUUAUAUUGCUUCUGUUUUAUUGCAAUCACAAGAAAAUUAAAUCAUGACAAUAGUUUUAGUUCACUUGAGAUUGUAAAAGAUAAUUGUUCUUAAUAGAUUUAGCUAAUAUUUCUACCAUGAAAAUAUCAAGUUUAUUAACUUAAAUACAUUGUACUUUGAGCGCAGACAAUAAUUAGCUUAAAACAUAAAUUCAUCUUAAGUUCAAGAUUCAACACUUAGUUUUAUCAUAAACCUUCCUUGAGCAUGCAUGCAAGGUUCUUACAUUACAACAGAGAUGCUUUACACUUCAAAACAAGAAAGAGAAGAAUAAGAAUGAAAACAAUACCACCAGAAGAACACCAACUCUAUGAAUCCAAUUACGAUCAAACCUUGUGAAGCUCUUAUCUAAAAAAGCUGAUAAAGAUAUGACUAAAACCAAUACAAAAAGCAACAUUGGUAACCAUAAAGUAACACUAAUAGGUUGUUCAUCAUCUUCCAAUUCACUCUCUGAUCUGUGAUCUAUGUAUAGAGGAGAAGCCACAGCUAGAACUACCAAGCUUAUGGCUGCUACUCUCUCAAAUGAAGAAAAUUUGCUUCCCCUCCUAUUAGCUUCAAGUUCCAUUCAAAAGAUUGAUUUAGAUGAUAAAAAAUUAUGUUCGGGGAAAUUUUUUGUGUUGCUAAUUAAAAUGUAUAUAUGUUUAUAUGAUAUGAUGAAAUUGCAACACAAAAAUAUUGAUAUGGUAAGUGGAAUAUUGCUUUUUCAAAGUAAGCACUAAAGAGCAUCGGAUUCUCAUUCAAAAGAAAUACAUCAAUGUGCGCAAUUUUUUUAACCUUUUUCUUUUUUUGAAAGAAAGAGGGUGUAAGCUUGGGAAAAAAAAUUAUAAAACAGUCAUAUGAAAACUUAGAAUUAUCAGCUGACAAUGAUUAAUUUAAGCAGGAGCAAACAAGCUCGUAGAAAAACAAAGAGACUCCAUAUUAUCACAAUUUCGAUAGGGUUGAGUCAUACGGAAGGAACUGAACUUCCACGACGUGACAAAUUUAUAGUGUGUCUAAUUACUUGGUAAAGAAGUUUAUUCAAUGUGUUUCUCCUUUUCCAUUGGAAUAGAAGUCUUGUGUAUUUUUUUGUUUUGCAAAGUUUGAAGUGUAGGGUUUAUUUAAUUAGUAACAAUAACUAAGUUAAUCAAGAUCUUAUAUUAUUAAAAAAAACCUUCAAAUCUUUUGUACCGCCCAAAGCCUUUGAACUUCAGCAUUUUUUUUUAAGAUUGAUUUUCAAUUUUGAAAUCCAAUAAACCGUUCAGCUAACAUGUUUACUAAGCUUACUAAUAGAAGAACAAAAUCAUAUAUUUUGACCUUAUACCAUAUUCAUCUUGGCUUUUUUAAUCACAAAUUUUGACCCCAAAAUAUUGUUGGGGAAUGUCCCAACAUAUGAUCAUUUUAAUCGAGUCAAGAUCCUCCCCAUUUUGUAUCUCUUCCAUUUCUUCCAUUUGAAAAAGAUAAGGACACAAUUAAAUUUAAAAAUAAUUAAUGAUGGUGGGACCCACAAUCCAUUUGUAUCUCUUCCAUUUCUUCCCUUUGGAAAAUAAUUAAUGAUGGUGGGACAUGUGCCAUAUUUUGUGUUUAUCCUUUUCUUUUUAGAUGACAAUCUCCGUUUAUUUUUAUAAAUAGAGAGGAUCCUAACUCAUUUUAAUCGAACUAUCUUUAUUUUAUAUUUUGAAUAAAUUUUAUGUUUAUGUGAAAAAAAUCUUAUAUUAUUUAGUCUAUUUAAAAAGUGUUUGAUUAAAAAUAAUUAACGAAACAUAAUUAUUAGGAAUAAGAAUUGUAACUUAAUCAAAGGGAAUUCAAUGAAGAUAAAUCAUCUUUGGGGUAUAGUUGUACUCUUUUUUUUUGAAGCAAUGGGUAUAGUUUUAAUAAAACAUGACAACAUAACACAUACACACAGUUACUUGUCCAAACCCACUCUGAUAUUGACGGAGAAACUUUGUCUUGAUUGAGUUUCGAUUCAGAUUUUCUCCAAUUUCAAAAUACAAAGACUAGGCAUAUAAUGAAGACAUUGGCGCCUAACUUGAACAUGUCCUAGUUACGAGUAUAAGUAGUUCACACAAAACCGAUAGAAUCAAAAAAUCAAAUAAAAAAAUCUUGCGACCCUUUAUGGUUCGGUUCAAAAGUUGGAUCAUAGGAAACAUAACAUGAUUGGUUCGGCUCUUUAUUUUCAAUUUUGAAAUCUCAUGAAUUGAUGAAUCAAUACGUUUAUUAAGUUAGUAAACUCACUUUGAUUUUCUAAGAGCCAUCAUAUUACUAAUACCCUCACACCAAUACAACAAGCAACAUUUUUAGACGAACCAAUCAACAUGAUCAAACCAAAGAUUAUCAAUUUAGUUUGAUUUUUAGACGAACUAAUCAACAAAUCAACAUAAUCAAAUCAAAUAUCAUCAUAUAAGUUUGAUUUGGUUUCACUUCUUUUUUCCGGUAGUCGGAGUUCGAACUCCGGAUCUUAUAUAUAUUAUACAUUGUCCUUAACAACUGAGCUAAUCAUUUGGUUUCACUUCUAAGAACGCUAAAAAUUAGAUUUGGUUGGAUUAGAUUCUUUUACCAAAAACCGAACCGGUCGAAUCCUUGACCGAAAACAUAACCGGUCCGAAUCCUUAAACCCUAGUGUCUUCUCUCUUCUUUCUCACACUUCAGAUCAAUUCUUCUCUCUCACGCGAACGGCCCCUUGUUCCCACUCUCUCCCUCUGCUUCGAUAAAGGUAUGAGAAUCUGAACUCUUUCUUCUACCUUUUCGUUUUAUACCUAAUCAUUGUUUUUUUUUUGAGUUUCUUUGUUAUUAUGCUUUUGUAGUAAGAUUUGUGUCAAAUUACUUGUUUAUUACUUCUCAAAUUUAUUAAUUUAAGAAAAAAUUAGUAACCUUUUUGCAUCUUGGUACUCUAUUCGAAUUUACAUUUUCAAUUUUCCGUAUAGUUUAGUUCAGAGCAAAAUUCCUGGGGUUUCUUAUAUAAAAGUGAUUAUUUUUAUUUGUAGGUUUGUUUAUUUUGUUAUGUUAAGCAUUCUGGGUAUUUGAAAUUUGUAAUGGGUUGUCUCAUUUUUCUUUUGUGUUAAAAUCCCUUGAAAUUCUUUCUUAGUGUGUGUUUGGUUCUGCGGUGACUUAAAUUUGAUUUUGAAUGAAUUGGUUUUGUAAAAUGAUUUUAGAUAAAGGUGAGUUCAAUGUAAAAUGUUUUAUGUUUGGAUGUAUUUAUGUAAAAGUGGAUUUAAUAAUAAAUUUAAGGCUAAAAUCAAUUGUAGAAGCCAAAAGCUACAAAUUCUAGCUUUUAAGUAGAAUCAAUUCUCCCUUAAGGGUCUGUUUGGAUUGACUUAUUUGAGCUUUACUAUUGGUAUAAGUUUUGUAAGGCUGUUUGGAAGAACUUAUGAAAACAUCUUAUGACAUUGUUCAUAAGCUGUUUUUAACUUAUUUUCAUAAGUUCUCCUAGCUAGCUUGUAAAAUCAGCUUAUAGCUCGUAAGAAAUUAAUUUAACUUUAUUUUAUCUUUUGCUAUUGAAAUAGCUUAUACAUAAGCUGCAAAUAAGUUGUUUAUCCAAACAGAUCCUAAAUCAUUCAAACAUGAUAAAAUUAAUUCUACAACCUUUAAAUCAAUUUUGACCCCUUCAAAAUUUAAAUCAAACAUGUGGUUGAUGAAAUAGUGAAGAAAGAAAGGAUUUCUGUUACUUUUAAUGCUAGGGGUGGGUUUGGGACAAUUGGGGCAGGGGUCUAUUGUUUUUACAAACUACUGUUUUGCGGGGAUGGGGCGGGGCAGGGAUACCUGAACCCCCGUCAGGGAUCCGGAGGGUUACAAGGAAUGAUCAGAGACUCGGGUUCGGGGACGGGGAAGGCAAAAACCAUCCCUGCCCUGUUGCCAUGCCUAGUUCAGAGGGUCUAUCUACAAAAUACUUCUUGCCAUAUUAUAAAUAUGAGAGCUGCAGCCUCAUAAACCAAUUCCAGUUUCUCCCUGCCAUUAGUUAUCAGUCAGUUUUCUAAUUAAACCCACAAUUUCUUUUAUUACCUUUUAAUGUGGAGAGUAAUACCCAAGUUUAUAACAUUUUAUACCUUUACACAAGUUUGUAAUAAUUAGAACUUCCUUGGUAAAUUGUGUACAAACUACAAAUACCUUGAUAUACACUAGAACUAGAAAUGUUGAGCAAAUGGAUAGUUCUUUUCGAUAAGUAAACAUGGUGCAAAUUGUGUAUUGAAACAAUUAGACUUUUCAAUGGCAGACUUUGUUUACACGAAGUCAUAUAGUAUGAACUUGUAUAACUCACUAAAUAAGUUUGUGUUACUUUUAUUUUCAUUUUUGUUUCAAAAGCUUUGUACUCAGAAAACCUUGAUACUCCUUGGAAUUAAUAGCUGAGGUGAAUUUGCUAACAGAACUUAUGUUUUUGUGAUGUCUGAACUUGCUUCCUUUUCUAUCCUGUUGUUGUUGAUAUUGUGCUUUAUUUGGUUUCAGUAUUUAUUAAUGGGAAUUGUGUGAUAAGCUGAAGAUAGUGUAUAUGAGGGGAACUUCCUUAUUUGUGUUGUUGUGAUAUCUGAACUUACUUCCCUUUUUCGAUUUUUGUUAUUUUUUCUAUUGUGUUCUUGUUAACUUUUUGAGCUAAGAUUUUGAUUUAUUAGUCAUCUAAAUUCAAUCUUUAUUUCUGAAUUUUUGUACUGUGACCUUACUCUUUGAUUGUUUGAAUUUAAAGUUUACGACUUUGAUGAAAAAAAUUCCUUUUUUUUUAUUGGGUAAGGAGCUCCAUUGUGGUAGAAAAUGAAUAUAACAGUGUGACAGAUUAUGAUUUCUAUAUAUUGUUAAGCUCUUUUUUUACCUUUAAGUUGUUUUUAAAUCCUACAGCAGAGCUCGUUUGCAUUGUGAUUUGAUUCUUAAAUGUUGAGACUUUAGGUGACAGAACAAAGUAGUCUUAAGAUGUGGUUCAUUAAACUUGAACUCUCGGGUUAUCAGCCUUUUUAAUAACUCUAUGAAAGCUGUCAUUUGUGAUUUUCAAAGCUUAUUUACGCAGUUAUGAUAGAAACUGAAUUAGUAAUCUCAAAAUGCACAUUGAUUUAUAUAAUUCAUUUGUCUUUUUUUCCUUCUAGAGUAAGAAAUGGGUAACGCUAAGAAGAAGGCUCAGAUGUUCGUGAAACUUGUGUCUGCUGCGGGAACUGGAUUCUUUUAUGUUAAGAGGAAACCAAGACAGUUUACAGAGAAACUUGAGUUUCGAAAGUAUGAUCCCCGAGUUAAUCGUCAUGUGCUGUUUACAGAAGCUAAAAUGAAGUGAUAUAGUGCAUCUUUCAUUGCUUCCUUGUAACAAUCUUGUACUUCUUUUUGAGACAAUUAUCACAUUUUAUAUUACAGGUGGAAUAAUGCCAAUCUUUUAAUUGUUUGUUGAGAUUGAUUGUUAGUAUGCAGUAUUAUUUGGGCUGUUUGUUUGACUCGUCUAAAUUCAUUUCUAGGACCAACUUUCCAAGAAAUAUAUUGAUGAAAUCUUAUUUCUGGGUAAUUUUUUAGAAACGGUUGGACCAAUAUUGUAAAUUAUCCCUAAUUAUUAAAAUUUCAGAAAUUUUCUCCACCACUAAAUUUGGCCUUAUUUUGAUAAUGUGUCAGAUUGAAUAAUGAAUGGACAAGUCAUUAGAUUAUCAAUAAACUUUGUAAAUAAAUUAUAGAAUUAUUCAAAUUUAAUCAAUAACUUUUCAAUAAAUUAUUAUAAACCGGAUGUUGUACCCCUUCCUCUCUGGGUUUUGGGAUUCGAACCGAGUUUCUCAAGGUUGAAGAGAUAAACUCUCUCAACCAAGUUACUUCUCGGGAGACAGGCUAUGUUGUACACCUUCUAUGACUCAUAUAUAUGGCAUAUUUCACAAUCAAUUUAUUAUUUUUAUUUUUUUGAAAUAACAAUCAAUUCAUUAUUUGAAAAGCUUUUGUUUUGUAAUAUUGAAGCUUUAUUCGGCCAUUAAAUACCAUUGUUCUUAUGUUUACUCGUGGAAAAACGGAUUCCAGUUUUUUAUUGGGCUAUUUUUUUUUAGACACACCCAUAUAUAAUUUUAAUAUGCAUGUUGUAUAUUUUUAAAUUAAAAUUUGAGGAGGUGCAACAAGUGGGGAGAAAUUCAACACAUCUCUGUCUUCUCUUCGUCAUAUGAAUGAAGAGAUGGUGCUAGCCAUAGUACAAUUUUGCUUGAAAUGAAAGAGCAAUAAUAUUUGGGAGAACACUUGCAAUGAUCUUUCUCCUAUAUGCAUGUGAAGGUAUUGGGUUGAUGUGAGUUGGUCUCACCACAAAAAAGGGGUUAGAUUGAAGGGAUUUUAAAGCAAUUUGCAUGGAUUUUCAACCUCGACAGAUGAGUGGUUCAAUGAAAGGACUUUAGGAGGGCUGGUUGUGGUGGUUUUUGAAGUAACCCAUGUUUUAAAUGGCUGCCUUAUCUUAUAGAGAAGAGAUGUAGGGAGCUCUAUCUUAUAGAGACUUUAGGAGAAUUCAAUGCUAGUAUUAGAGGAAGAAAUUUGGUUAAGCAAAUAUUGAAACCUUUUUAUGUCAACAAUUGUGCUAACAUUUUAGACAAUAUGAGGUGAGUUGGGUUAUCAAGAUAUCAUCACAUAACAUUGAACUUUAAUUUGAGCAAUUAAGUGAGUUUAUCUAAAAGAUUCAGACAAUAGGCAUACAAGUCCUCUCAUUUACAUAUUAACAUUUAUUUUUCCAUGUAAUGUAGGAUUUUUAUUCGUAUUUGAUAUACCAACAAUUUUUCUCUCAAGCGUAAGUCCAUUUAUUCAUCUAGGUAUAUUUUCUCUCAAGCAAAAGCUUUUCAUUUGCAUACACUUGCCGUUGUUUUUGCUCCAUCAACAAGACAUGUUGUCAGACAAUCCCAUUGUCAUAUGAACUUUUGAUACAAAGAGUCGGUCGAACAAUCGACUAUAAGACAACUCCUAGAGAUGCCCUUGUUAAAUUAUGAGCAACUGGAUUAGCUUGUUGAUUAAUACAGUUUACCCUAAAGGUGUAUUGAAGGAAAGGAUGAGCCUGCACUGCAAACAUUAAAUUACUAAUUACAAAGUAGAACAUUUGUAUUAGUUGUUACAUGCUUUUACUUUGCAUGUAGAAAAGGCAUCAAAUGAAAUACAAUGUUACAGAUAAACGAGGAAAAUACAUUUAUCCGGGUAACAUAGAGUCAUAGAUGAAGGAAAUUUUUUCUAAAACUCAGACAAAAGUACAGCUAAAAAAAGAUUUUGUUGAGUAAGGUAAUUCUUGUCUUGUUUUUAGAUCCUACAAAAUCACAAAUGUAUAAGUUUAGUCCCUAUAAAAUUUUAUUGGUAGUUUUAGUCCUCCGUAAUAUUGUAAUUUGCAAGAAUCUCUAUUUAAAAAACUUUUUACAAAAAUAGACAUUUUUAAUCUUGCAAAAUAGUCUCUAUAAAAUACAAAUAGGGAUUAAAAGUAAAUAAAAUAAUUGUAGAGAUUAAACUUGAAAACUUGUAAUUUUGUGCAAAUUAAAAACAUAUUUAACCAUUUUUAUUAUUAGUGUUAAAAUUGCUGAGAACACAAUUCUAUUUUAUAUUAUUAGCAUAAAAAAUGCAUAAAACUACAAACUCUCCUGAAGUAGGAUAUUAUUCUUUUGGGAUUCAUUUCCACACUGGGAAAGUAAUUUAUUAUACUAAUUUUAAAAUACAUCUGCAGCUGAAAGGUAGAGUUAUGGGACCCCAAAAGCCUUAAAUAUAUUCAUUCAAUAGGCACGUGACUAGGAACAACUGCUUGUUAUUGAGAGAGGUCCUCCUUCUAGCUAAAAAAAUGCUUUGCAUGUGAUUCUUGGGCCACAUCCCUCUAAUUUUUCUUUUAUUUAGUUGAGAGGAAAUUAUGUAUAGUGUACUGUACUCCUACUGUUUAAGGAAAAUAAAAUUGUGUCACAUACAAAAAUAAUAUUUUUGACAUACAAAGGAAUGUAAUACUGACUACUAAAGUAUAUAGUUUUACUUUAUAACAUUUUUUAGGGAUAUUAAAUUUUUCUUGACUUAUUAUACCAUAUACAUGAAUGGUAAAAGAAAUAUAGUUAGCAUGUUCAUUUUUUAAGUUAGACUUAGACUUACAAAAAAGUUUAUCAAGCCUAAUAGGUUUGUUUGCAGGUAUAUAUAUCUAAUGAAAACUAUAGACAUAUUAAAAUAAUUUUAAACAAAUAAAUUAGUUCAUAGUUUUCUCGUAUUCUCUUGAGUCUUAACCCAAGUUCAAUCACUGUAAAAAUAGAAACCCUAGACUUUCAGCAAGUUGAGUUGCAACUUGCAAGUUGUCUGAUCUGUACUUUGAAAUUUUUGAUAGAAACCUCAAUGAUUUUCUAGAUGUUGAUGGACAUUUACAUAAAUUGUUUUAGUGUAUCAUUGGUUUUUUGUGUCUGGUCUUCCUGAUGAUUUUGUUGGUAUGGUUGAUAAUGGUAUUGUGGUUUUGCAUGGUUAGGGUUGUUACCACCCUGGAAAUUGUUGUUGUACUAAUUUUGAUUAUGAAUUUGGCCUUGUAUUUGGUUGUUAACAAAGUUAAUCUCUUAUUCUUUUAGACAUGAUGGGCUACACUUGUGUGUUCUUAAAUUUCAAAAACUAGUCAUUGAACACACUCUUAUAAAAUGGUCUACGUUGAUAGUAAAAAUUAAAGCAAAUCACGCAUUUAUAAAAAAAAAUUGGAACAAGCUCACACAUUUAUAAUUAAAAGACUCUUUGUAAAUUUAUAGAUACACUUAUUAUUAUUUUUUGGCUAAAAUACGUAAAUCAUCUUUAUAAAUUAGCGUGUUUUUGAUUUUUGUCUCUAUAUCUUUUUUUGUUCUAAAAUAACUCAUGUAAGUUAUAAACGUUUUGUUUUUUUGUCUUUGCCGCCAUCAUCUCUUACAAAAGCUCACAUGUGGUAAAGAGCGGCUGACGUGGCGACGUGUGACAUGGAAAAAGAUAUUUAUGUGUCGUUCCUCGAUGUUGAGUCAGAAAGUUAGAGGGACCAAAACAAAACAAAAAAACAAAAUUCGAAAAGGGACCAAAACCAAAAAAUAAGAAAGACAACGAAUAAAAAAAAUUCCAGGAAAUUCUUCAUCUUCUUCCUUCUAUUUCUUCUUCAUCAUCUUUAACACCACCUUCAUCAACAUUAAUAAAAAUCUAGAGAAAAAUAUUCAAAAGCAACAAUCAUCAACAACAUCACCAUCAUCUAAUCACUACACCACCAUCAACAACAAGUGAGAACAACACCCAAUUUCAUCAUCAAAAUCAUUCAAAUACUCAACAUACAUAAAAUCAUUCAAGAAAUCAUCUUUAAUCCAACACCUAGAAUCCUAAUUUCUGAGGUAAAAUAAGAAUUACUUCUAGAACCAAAGCAAAAGCAACAAAGUAGAAUGUCAAACACAAAAAACCAAAACAAAACAACUCUUCGACUCUCUCAUUCACCUAUCAUCAUCUUCAAUGACACCUAUGGUUGAAACCUAAAUGUUUAAAUUCCUUUGUUUCUUUUAAGGUAUCAAUUUUUGUUUUUUUUUUUCAAAAUAAUUAUCAAAAAAUGUUUGUUCUCAAAUUUUUGCAAUCCGGGAAAAUAUUUUCUCCUUUUUGGCCUUGGGGUUGUUCAAUUCAAAAUACAAAUGAACAUUCAUGUAUUGAGAUUUUUAAAUUCUGUUCAAGAUUGUCUCUCGUUUUUAAAUUCGAAAUAUAAAGAUGAAGAAUUUCCUGGAUAUUUUUUGGAUUUGUUGUCUUCUCGUUUUUUGGUUUUGGUCCCUCUGUGAAUUUUAUUUUUUGGUUUUGGUCCCUUAACUUUCUGACUCAUCAUCGAGGAACAACACAUAAAACUUUCUGACUCAUCAUCGAGGAACAACACAUAAACAUCUUUUGCCAUGUAACACGUCGCCAUUUCAGCCGUUGUUUGUCACAUGUGCAUUUUUGUAACAGAUGAUGACAGCAGGGACCAAAAGCAAAAUGUUUAUUACUUACAAGGGUUAUUUUAGAAAGAAAAAAAAAGGGACGAAAACCAACAACACACGAACUUGAAUGGACGAUUUACAUAUCUAGCCAUAAAUAAAUUAAUGGUAAUAGUUAUACACAGUUUGUUGUUGAAAAACUCUAAAGCACCUCAAACAACAACAAAUAAAACAUAAAAUUAUUUAGAUCACUCUUUAAUAUUUUUUGGACUUUGAUCCUCUCCUUUUUUCAUUCUCCAUUUCAUGUCUCAUUCUUGAUAUUUUCUCACUCUUAAUCUUAUUUUAUUUUUAUUUUUUUCUUUAUGUUGAUAUUCUCUCUAAAAUUUAGAGAGAAAGACACAAAAUACAAAACGAGGAAGAAGGAGGGGAUCCAACCUCGUAUUUUUCAUAGAAUAAACCAUUCUAAUGUGAUUACUACAAACUUAAUGUCUCUUUAGACAAACCACGACCAAAACUUCGGCAAUAAAGAGAUAAAACUUGUUAACAUUUUCUUAAAGAGAAUUAAUUAAAUGGAUCUAUUAAAGAGAAUUAAUUAAAUGAUAAGUAAAAAUGAGAGAAAUAAAAAUAAUUUGAGAAUAAUUUUUUUUAGGGUGUUGUUAACCGGUAUUUUCAAAGCAAUGAUUAAGGAGAUUAAAAAUACUUUAAUUUUGCAUUAAAAAUUAUAAUUUUUCAACUUUUUAAAAAGCUAAAUUCAACAUUUUUCACUAUUUUUCUAACAAAUUAUUUCUAUUUAUGUUAUCUUAACUAAAGUCUCAACGGCACUAAUAGCAUUUUCCUUUUUUUUUAACGGUGAAAAGAAUAAAUUAUCUUUAAUUACUUUCUAUUGUUAAGACGAGCUAUGACGAGGAACUAUGUAGGGAAAGAAACUAGAUGGGCUAAUGAUGGAGAGGUUUUGUUCCUAAAUAAGGAACAUGACUUAAUAUGGGGAACAGUAGUAGAUUAAGAAAGCUCUCAAAUUAUAUCCCAAAAUUAAAACUAAAGAUAAAAAAAAGACACAAAUGUCAUAAUAAAGUAUAAUAAUGAAAUGUUUGGUUAAAAAGAAGUUGUCGUGUUGUUUGGAUAACGAAAUUUGUGAUAUAGUGAUUGGUAAAAUCGUUGGGUAACAAUAUUAAAAGAAAGAGAAAUAUACAUGCAGACGUGAAAACGACCUAUUUGGAUUAUUGAUAGGAACGUUAACGGCGUCAAAGAAAGAUGUGUGUUUAGGGCUGUGGUUGUCAGGCUUUUGAUUAUAGGGUGGGGGCCAUAUAGGAAUCAUGAUCAUAAUAGAGACUGGACACAAAUCACCUUCCCGAGGAGUAAUAAGUAAGGGUAGUAGUAGUAACUUUUUUGAGUCAUUCAUUGAUGCAUGCAAGUUAAUCAAAAGAGAGUACCUAAAGUUUGUGGUCUUGUGGGUCCUACUUUUAUCUGAAAUGUUAACCAUUUCUCUUUAAGGUAUCAAAAUAAAUAAGUUUGCAUCGAAAAAUCGUAUAAUCAUUGAUAAGAAAAAAAUAAAGUCUUAUAUUUUUAAGAUAAAAUUUCUAUUAAUGAAAUUCUUAACAAUUGCUUUUAGAACACCGGUUAGCAAAACCCUACUUUAUAUACUUAAAUAUUUUCUGUUAUGAAUAAUGUUUUUCAGCACAUUAGGUGCUCUACUUUGUUAAUGGUCGUGUUAAUAAGUGCUAAUCUUAAUUUAUUUUGUUUGGUUAAGCAGUAUAUGGCUAGAAUUUACUUUUUAUUUAAAGUGAAUGAGUUGAUGUUCAGAAUUCGAAGUUGAUCCAUACAUAUAAUAAUAUAGGUAAAUAUAUUAAUUUGUGCCCUCUUAAAGGCACAUGUUAAGGUAUUCAUUAUAAAAAUAUACGUAUCAAAAGUUAUGUAAUCAACUUCUAAAAACUUAAAAUAUUAUAUUUUUCAAUGUAAAACUCUUUUUGAAUUUCUUAACAUGGGCACAAGUUAACAUGAUCCAAUAAUGUAUUAUCUAUAUCAACUAAGUCAUGGUUGCUCUAAUCUUAAUGUUAACAACACACUUUAUGAUUAUAUUUUUCAACACAUUAUUAUUGAUUGAUCAAAAUUUAUGUGGAUACUAUAAAAUUUAGACGAGACUCGUUUGAUUUUGUUAGUUUAUGUUAAUUUUAAUUAGUAAAGAAAAUAUGUUUUCUUGAAAUUGUGUGUUAAGGAGUAUGAGAAAGAAGGAAAGAAACCAUUCCCUUUCAACCAAUGAAUCCUAGUCCUAGCUUCUGCUAAAUACGAACAAAGUCAAUAUUACUUCCUUUUUCAUGUUUCUAUGUCAUUAUUUGGAACUUUAAAAAAUGUCACUGUUUGGAUAAUUGCUUCAUGGUGGCCUGCAGUAAAUUUUGUUCCCUCUUUUUCUUCUUUUCUCAUCUUUCCCCACUCACUCUCACAAGUUUACUCUUUUUGAUUAUAAAUUUUUAUCUUAGUCAAAAUAUUUUAUGAAUUUAAAUUUUAUUUAUUAAUACUGUUUAUUUAUGUAAAAACAUGAUACAGCACUCUAAUACUACAUAUGGUCAUUAAUCAAUUAGUAAGUUUUAGGACUAAUAAUUUGUUACGGAACUGGUUAUAAUCGUAGAUGAUAGUGUGCAUGUGUAAAUAUUUCUAUUUCUAUAUAAAAAAAAAUUGUAGAAUGUAAAUUAAUUUAUUUUUUAUUUUUUUAGUUAAUAUUGACGGCUUGUAGAGUUUCAAAUUUCAACUAUACAUAACUAAUUAUAGGUUCUAGGUACUAGUAUUAACAAGAUCAAUUAAAGUUGUGUGGUAAACCAAACUUGUGUACGAACUAGGGUUGCAUCUAAGAGAAGGACUAGCACUACCUAGAUGUGCCGAACCAUUUGAGAGGCAUCACAUUUAUGACUCAAGUUGGAGAAAUCAAAAAGUGAUUUUAUAUUCAUAAAGUUUUUUUUUAAACAGCAAAAGUAAUAAAACUAAUACUAGUAGUAUAAUAUAAGCAAGAAGUCGUGCUUAGAAAAAAAAUAUUACAAACAGUUAAUGGUUCGUCUUCGAAAGCUUAGCUCAGUUGAUAAAGAUAAUACAAGAUCUGAGGUUUAAACCUCGACCACCAAAAAUAAAAAUGGUUCCUAAGAAAAAUAACAUCCAACAUUAUCAGUGAUUUUAUAUUUGUAAAGUUGAUUUUAACAUGUUUCAAUUAUAUUGAUUAGUGGAUUGAGGACUCCUUCCCCUUCUUCGACCCCCAAUUCGUAUCUAAUUAAUUUUCAUAUUUUAAUUUAAAAUUAUAUUUUGUUUAACUCUUAUAUAUGAAUGCAGCGUAUGUUUGAUUUCAUUUUUGAGAAGGUUAAAAUUUAUUUUAAAGUUGUAGAAUUUAUUGCAAUAUAUCUAGAUCAAAUUUUACACUAAUGAAUAUAUUUGAACAUAAAUCAUUUUAUCUAGAUCAAUUUUACAUAAUAUUUUAAAUCAAAAUUAAUUUUUGUCGUAAAACCAUACACUAAUGUUUCUUUUCCUUUCUAUUGUUUAAUAUUAAUUGCUAUAUUUUCUUCUAAUUUUUUAAAUUUCUCUAUAAAAAUUAUCACCAUUAAUGAAGGACAAAUUUAAUAAAAAAAACAGAGAAUGAUUUUGUAAAAUAAUGAACGGCUAUUUUUUUUUCAUGCAAAAUUAGUUACAUUUUUAAUUUAUAUAAAAUUGUUAAAAUGAUUUAUAAUUUAAUACGAGAUAGAAUCUUCCACGUAUUGUUGUAUGCUUCUUAAUAUAUUUAAAUAACAUGUAACAAGAGUUGAGUUUUAUUUUAGCCUCUUAAAAAAAAAAAAUGUAACAUUUACCGUAGCUUCUUAUGACUGAUGUGUGUGUUCUUUUUGUUUGCCUAUGCUAACAGGGCCCCGUUUCCGAUGGGAGACCUCAAUAGGUCUCCUACCAUAGGAGACAUGCUCUUUUUUUUUUUUUUUUUUUUUUACAAAAAUGAAUGUGAGGAUAAAGGUCAACCAACCCUUAGAUCAAAAUGCUUACCGUACACCUUCAACAUUCAAUUGUUUUCUUUUAUUUUAAAUUAGUAGUGUAUUUUUCUUGUGUUGGUCUUAUAACUUGCAUUUGUAGGUCAAGCCAGUAUUAGUUACCUGUUGUUGCAGGUCAUCAGUAAUAUAUUAAUCACAUGUAACUUUAAAAAUAAUUUGAUGUAUAUAUGUAUGUGGUUUUUCCAAACUACAAAAUUAAUAGUUAACUUUAAUAUUUAACUAUUAAUUGUUUGUUUUUAAGAAAAAAAUAAUAUAAAUUUUUAAGUUUGGGGGGCAUUUUGCACAUAAGUGCAAAACUUCAGGGGGAUAUUUGCAAAACGUCAUGUUCACUAACAGAAAAAUUUGACGGAGGGGGUAAAUUGACUAACAUUGUGAAAUUUCAGGGGGGUAAUUGAAGUUUUGUUAAUUUCAGGGGGGUAAUUGAUGAAACUUACAAUUUCAGGGGGGAAAUUGACUAUUUACUCAUUACUUUAUUAAAGACAAAAAUUAAACAUUAUACUCCCUCCGUCCCUCAAUAAAUGACCUAGUUGACAAUAUACAUUAUUGACUUAAUAUACUUUGACCAUAUUUUUCUACUAAUUCACAAAGAUAAAUAAUAUUAUGUAAGAUGUUGUUGGAAUCGUCUCGAUGAAUAUUUUUAAAAUAUUAAGUUUUCAUAAUUUUUUUUAAUAGAAAAUUGAAGAUAUCAAAGAUAAAACAUAUGCAUUGGUACGUCUGUCGAAGUCAACUAGAUCAUUUAAUAUGGGACGGAGGGAGUAAUAUACAUUACUAGUGGGUCAACAUGUCUAAAGAUCUAUGCCAUUGAAAACUUCUUUUCAAAUCCAAUGGCUAAAAAGCAUUUUAGAAACCAAAAAAAAAAAAAAAUGUAGUCACCUACGGUAGGAGACCCAUUGAGGUCUCCUACCGUAGCCUAAGCCAUGCUAACAGGUGCCGUUUAAGGUAGGAGACGUGAAUAGGUCUCCUACGGUAGGAGACUAUAUAAAAGGAAGUUUUUUUUUUUUUCCUAUUAAAAUAAUUUGUCUUUGGAGGUGGUUGUACAUUGGUAACUUGUUGUUGGAGGUAAAUUCUAUUUAAAUUAUUCAUUUAAGUGCAGGGCAAUCUUGGAAUAUCCUCUUAAAUAAAAAAAUUAUUUUUCCACCAAAUCUGUAAUGAUUACAACAUCGUUGCUAUUCCUUUGAACGCCAUUUUUUUCUAUAAUGACUUCAUUUUUUUCUUUAGAGAAAUAUAACGACUUCAUAUAAUGAGGAAGUUGAAAAUAUAUUCACGUUUUUACUAUAGAUUGAAUAUUAUGAUUUUUUUUUUAAAUAAUUGAAUAUUAUUAAUCGAAUGGUCGAUAGACAACAAGAGUUAAAUAAGUUUUUAGUCCCGAUAAAUAUAUUGAAUAUUGUUUUUAGAUCUCAAAAAAAAAAAAUACAUGUUUUAGUCCCUAUAAAUUAAAAUUUGUUUAAUUUUACUUAAAGAUUUUAAUUUUUUAACACUUUUUUACAUAAAUGUUAAGAGCAUUAAAAGGAACUCUUUUAUAAAAAAUUAUAUUUUUUUCACAUGCAAUGAAUUAAAUUAGAAUAUUUCUAAACUCACUACCAAAAAAAGAAUAUUUAUAAACAACAAAGUUUUAAGAUUAAUCUUUGGAAGAUUAUCAUAGAACAAGUGUUAGUCUUUUGAAAUAUUUGUAUAGAUAAGAAGUUUGUCAUUGAAAGAUUCACAUAGAACGUGUCUUAGACUUUUGAAAAAUUCUUAUAGAUAAGAAGUUAGUCUUAAGAAGAUUAUCAUAAAACGUAUGUUAGUCUUUUAAAAGAUUCUCACAAAUAAGAAGUUAGUCUUUGAAAGAUUCUCAUAGAACGGAUGUUAGUCUUUUGAUAGAUUCUUAUAGAUAAGAAGUUAGUGUUUGGAAGAUUUUCAUAGAAUGAAUGUUAGUCUUUUGAAAGAUUCUUAUAGACAAUAAAUUAGUGUUUGGAAGACUCUCAUAGAACGGAUGUUAGUAUUUUCAAAGAUUCUUAUAGAUAAGAAAUUAGGGUUUCGAAAAAUUCUCGUAUAACAGAUAUUAGUCUUUUGAAAGAUUCUUAUAAAUAAGAAGUUAGUCUUUGAAAGUUUUUCAUAAAAUGUUUGUUAAUCUUUUGAAAUACUUUUAUAGAUAAGAAGUUAGUCUUAAGAAGAUUCUCAUAAAACGUAUGUUAGUCUUUUGAAAGAUUCUCAUAGAUAAGAAGUUAGUCUUUGAAAGAUUCUCAUAGAAUGUUUGUUAGUCUUUUGAAAGAUUCUUAUAGAUAAGAAACUAGUGUUUGGGAGAUUCUCAUAGAACGGAUGUUAACCUUUUGAAAGAUUCUUAUAAAUAAGAAGUUAGUAUUUGAAAGAUUCUCAUAUAACAUGUGUUACUCUUUUGAAAUAUUCUUAUAAUAAGAAGUUAGUCUUGAGAAGAUUCUUAUAGAACGUAUGUUAGUCUUUUGAAAUAUUCUUAUAGAUAAGAAAUUAGUGUUUUGAUGAUUCUCAUAGAACGGGAUGUUAGUCGUUUGAAAUAUUCUUCUAGAUAAGAAAUUAGUGUUUGGACGGCCAUAAAUAUUUAGAAUAUUAUAAAGAUCUCACAAAAAAAAAAAAAAAAUUAGAAUUUUUAAACAAAACAUGAAUUAAAUAUAAAUUUUUAACGGUCAUAAAUGUAAUAUCAUGUUUUGUUAAAAAUUCAUUUUUAAUUCAUAUUUUAACGACCAUAAAUGGGAAUAUUAUAAUAUUUAAUUCAUAAAUGUAAAAGAUUCGCAUAGAAAAGAAGUUAGUCUUAUUAAGAUUGUCAUAGAUAAAAGUCUUACUUCUUAAGAAGAUUCACAUGAAACGAAGGCUAGUAUUAGUAAGACUGUCAUAGAUAAGAAUAUUACUCCAUCCGUUCCUUUUUAAGUGUCGUUUGAAUGUGAAUUUAGCGUUCCUAUUUAACCGUCAUUUUGAUAUUUUAAGGGUACAAUUUAUCAAUUAUACCCUUUGUUGAUUACUCUUAUCUUUUUCAAAAAACUAAUUAAUGUUAUAAAUUUGAAAAACUAAAGUUUUUUUUUAAAACAAAGUUUGUUUCUUGUUAUUUUUAAAUCGACAACUGUUUGGUGUUAAUAUUUCAAAACGACACUUAAAAGAAACAUAGAGAGUAGUUCUUGGGGAAUUGUCAUACAACGGAAGCUAAUCUUGAUAAGAUUGUCAUGUGUAAGAAAAUUAUAAUUUUUAAAUAAAACAUGAAUUAAAUAUAAUUUUCGUUAAACAAGUUUCAAUUCAUCGCUUUUUUCUCUUCUUCUUCCCUUCUCAUAGACAUUUCCAACUUCAAAGUUUAUGGGUUUGACAAAUUCGUGAUUUAAAUAAACUGGGGACAUGUAAACAAUUGAGAAUUUCAUGAUUUAGGGAUUUAUGGGUUUCAGGAUGACUAUGUAGUGUGCUUUGAAUUCGGGUAUGGGGAUUUGUGAGAUGAAGAUAAGUAUUGAGUUUGUGGCAGAUUCCUUUUCUGGAUUUGGGGAUUCAUUAUGGGUUUAGGGAUGAUUUUCAGGGUGGAUAAUUGGUUUGUGGAUGAAUUUAUUGGUUUAUGGAAGAUGAAACUACUUGAAUUUCCCAAUUUCAACCCAUAAAAAGCUAUAUAGAAUUUGUGAAAAAUAAAUUUAAUCAUGGUUGGGAAUAAUAAAUUCAAUCUUUGCUUCCCAUUCAGUGUGGUUUAAAUUAGUGAAAAUAUUUGUGUUUGAUUACUAGAUAAUUUAGUGAUUUUCUUUCCUAAAAAUUGUUGUAACUGUGAGGUAUAUACUUUAAUGAUAAAAAUUAAACUGCCAUAAAUGAGAAUCCUGCAUUUUUCAAUAAUAAUUUGAUUCAAUGACUAAAUCACCCUUUGUAAAUGAUACCAUCAAUUCUAUAAUAUUUUCCAACAAUAUUAAUUAAUCAGGUCACCUAAGGCGUAAAUCACUACCAUCCAAUUAAAUAAACUACAUCCUAAGGUCCAUAUCCCUUUCGAAAAGGAAAAAAAAAAAAAAAACAAGCUCUCUCACGGUAAGAGACCUAUACAGGUCUCCUACCGUAGCCUAAGCCAUGCUAACAUGUCUUAUUAGCUUUACUCGGUGUCGACUUAGAAGCUAGAUCCUUGAUGUUUUGUAGAAGAAAAAAAAUCUAAGAUCUUUGAUGAUUAUGAAAAUUAAAAAUAGGAGGACCAAUUGAUUAAGUGAUCUGAUCAUACCGACACUUAUACUUACGGAAUCCAAAUCACCCUUGGAGACACAAAUUGCACAUUAAUUAUAGUGCACUGACAGUGUAAAGACAUAUUACACACUCAACCAAUAGCAUUUUGCCAUGUCAUUUUCUCAUUUCAUUUUUUUUUUAAAAAGUAUAGAUAGUGGCAUCCUUCUCACGUUGACGGUAAUCAACAUUGAACGAUACUGUUACACACCCUCCACACCGAGUGGUCGUUAUUGCUUCAUUAUUCGUUUGAAUCAUUUUUGCAAAUCUAAUUACAUUUUUAUGAAAACUAAUUGAUUGAAGGUGUGGUUGAUUUUCCACAUUGAAGAAUAGAGAAUCAAAAGAGUCAUUAGAGAUAUAUAUUGGCCAUUAAAAUGGAGAAAUAUUCAUUGUAGAACCCUCUUGGAUGGUGCAAUCGUCCCUUUUUUUAGGCACAAACAAUCAUCCCAUUAUAAUACAGAAGCAAUGUUAAUUUGGAUGCACAAGCAAUGCACUAAUACGGCUAAAAACAACGUCGGAAGAGAAGACGGUGAAAGAGUUUAAUAAAUAAUUAAUUUUAUUCAAUUAACCAAUUUUAAAUUAAAUCACGUGGCAGAAUGCUAUUGGUUGAGUGUGUAAUAUGCUUUUACACUGUCAGUGCACUAUAAUUAAACUCAUUAUAUUAUCAUUAGGACUAAAUAAAUAUACUAUUAAACAUGUUUUUUAUACUCAUUCCCUCUAACAUGUAUUUUAUAUUACUUAUUCUUUUAACAAGCUAAAUUAGAUUAUAUUAACAAACCAUCAGUGGCCUACCUCACACAAGGUGUGUUGAAGUAAGACACUCAAAGUUAAUUACAAGAUGCCAAUGCCCAAUGCCAUAUAACAACGACCCCCGAUAAAUGGGAGACCAAAACAACAAAUUACGAAGCUACACUCAUACAAAGGAGAGAGUAUCGCCACCAGUCAUGAUAGCUAAAGCAGAAGUAAACAAAUUUAUCUUUAACCACACAAAAGACAACAACUUUACUUUGUCUAAAAUCAUAUGUAACUUUGUUGUCGUAUUUUUAAAGAUUCGAUUAUUCUUUUGCUUCCAAAUAGUCCAAAUAAAAGCAAGUCAAAUCAGCCUAAAAAAAUGAAUGAGAUGAACGAGGUAGACCAACGUAGUGACCAAAUUGAAGAAAGUGAUCGCGCAACUCAAACGAGUCAACCGUAGUAAUGCCUAAUCACUUCCAGAUGAGAGACCAAAGGUUGUCGAAUAGGUUGCACCCCAAAAACAAAUGUACCGCCGCAACCUCCAACACAAACAAUAUCGUCGUCCUGAAGAACCCUCUGCCGCACGAGAUCAUCUCUAGUUGGUAACAUGUUGUGCAGAAGACGCCAAGCAAACAGAGAAACCUUUAACCAAACCUGUUUAUGCUCAAUGUUAUCAAUUGAAUCCCUGUCAAUAGAGCUUAUGCAGCUGUUAGGAAGUGAUACGUCCCACUGACAGAAUAGCCAUUAACACGGUCAAGAAGCAAACGCCACCUGUCAAGAGUAUCAAUCUGCAAAACAGUGUUAUGUAAUAGAAAAACACAUUCUCGAACAUUCUCCUCCUCCCACGCAAAAAGUCUCAUCCUCCACCUCCACGCCUCUCCCCC
rnacentral:lncRNA from 1 species